rnacentral:lncRNA from 1 species
GCUUUGGGGGUGAUGGUGGUGGAGGUGGGGACUUGUACUUGUAAGGGUGCUUGGGUGGUGAUGGUGGUGGAGGUGGUGGGGACUUGUACUUGUAAGGGUGCUUGGGUGGUGAUGGCGGUGGAGGUGGUGGAGACUUAUACUUGUAAACUGGAGAUGGUGGGGGUGGAGACUUGUACUUGUAAGGGUGCUUGGGUGGUGAUGGUGGGGGUGGGGGUGGGGGUGGGGACUUGUACUUGUAGGGGUGUUUGGGUGGUGAUGGUGGUGGUGGUGGUGGGGACUUGUACUUGUAAGGAUGCUUGGGUGGUGAUGGUGUUGGAGGUGGAGGAGACUUGUACUUGUAAGGAUGCUUGGGUGGUGAUGGAGGAGGUGGUGGGGACUUAUACUUGUAAACAGGAGUUGGUGGGGGAGGAGAUUUGUACUUGUAAGGCUUCUUGUGUGGUGGUGGUGGUGGUGGAGAGUAGACCGGAGGAGGCGGUGGUGGAGACUUGUAAUGGUAAGGUGGUGGUGGGUACUUCUUAGGAGGUGGUGGAGGAGAAGAAUAAGUGUAAUCUGCUGAGGUUUCAAAAGGCAAAUUGAGAGACACUGCUAAAACUAAAAGAGUGAGAAAGAGAGAGGUCAUUGAUGACCCCAUUUUCCCCAUACUUCUAAAAAUGGGUUUAAUUUGGUUAUGCUCUUAGCAACCCUCUUCACUCCCUUUAUAUAGACUUUUUUUUUAACCUUAUAAUCAUGAUAAAAGUUUGAAGAUGGACCGAACCUUCAGCAGCAUGUAAAAAAGACAUUACGUUUAGGUUAUUAGCAUGGUAUGAUAUAAUAAUUCUCUAUUCUCUUCCUUGUCGUUUCCCAUAAAUUCAAUUUUCUCUAUUAAAUAUUUAUCAAAUUCAUUUCUCACUCCCUAUUAAUUCUUUAAUAAGUUUAUAGAAUAUGAAUAAUUAAUCAUUAAACUCGAUUUAAUAAAUACUUUAAACAAUUAAUAAUUUAUCUUAUUUUAUGCUUUAAUUAAGGCAUCAAAUCAUAAUCCUAUUUUAUAUUUUGAAAAUUUAUCAUUUUUUAAAGAACUUAAUUGAUUAAAAUGUGAUUCUAAUAUUUGGCAGGAAAAAUUAGUUUACUUUCCUUAGAAUGUAAUAUUCUUUUGAGAGUUAUUUUCUUACUAAUAAUAGAAAGUGAUAAUUCGUGAGAAAAUUACUUUCACAUGUAAAUAAAAAUUAUUAGAACAAAAAAUUAACUUUCUUUUAUUUAUGUUUAGGUACUAAUUAACUUAUUGAGAUAAAGAUAGUUGUAGCUUGCUUUUUCAUGUCAUUUUCUUAUCUUUACAACUUCAAACCAUUAUUCUAGAGUAAGUUUUUUUUUUUUUUUCUAAAUAGUAGAUAAAUAUCUAUAUUUUAUUUUGCUAUAAGAAAAUUAUAUUUUUUAGCAUACAAAACUUAAAGACAACUUGUAGAAUCAAGUAAUUCUAUGAAAAGCAAGCCUAUUCACAUAUAAUACCUAUUACUCUAGCAAUAAUAAUAUUGACAUUGUCUAAAUUUUCUAAUAAAAAAAUUAUAUAAUUUGUAUGUGUUAAAAAUGAAAAAUAUGGCGGUUAUUAAAAAAGAUUUCAUACAUCUAAAUGAAACUACUAAUUUAAAAAUUAGUAUUGAGAUAAUUUCAAGUUAAUAUUGAAUAUACUUGAAUUUGUACAUACAAAGUAAUGAGGGUAAAAAUUUUGUAAAUUGUACAUCUUCACAAUCUUGAGUUAAUAUACAAUUUUUUAAUGUAUUAAUAUAAUGUUUUAGAUCAAGAUGUGAAAAAACAUAACUCAAAUAUUUGUUAAUAAUAAAAAAUUAUUAAUAAAUAUUUAAUUCAAAAUUUAUUAAUAAUAAAAAUUAUUGAAAAAUAUUAAAUACGUUAAUAUUAUUUUUAUAUAAUAAUGAUAAUUUUGUACAGUAAUCUUAUAUUCUCAAUAAGUGUUAAAUGUCUCAAGAUUUUAAUUAAUACUUUUCAGUGGUUACCAAACAUUGUGAAAUAACUUCUUGAACAAUGAUAUUCUUAUCAAUCACAUUCCAUUAGAAAUUUAACAUAGGAAAGCACCAAAACAACCGCUUAAAAAUGAAUGUGCAUGAUUAAAAUCGCGAUAAGUCUUGUUUAUCUAAAAUUUAAAUAUUCAUUUUAUUAUUUAAAAUAUAUUAAUUUUCCAAAAACAAUCAUUAAUAUUUAUAUUUCUAAUUUUAAACAUUCUUUUGUUAAUUAAAUGAUAGUGUAAACGGUUAAACUCAAAUCGAAAGCAUUUUAUCUUAUAGUAGAUUAUAUGACUCAUAUUAUGGUUGAAAGUAAAAUGUAUAAAAUCAAUACAAACAUCAAAUAUUAAACUUGCACUCAAUAGAUUUUAAAAUUUCUAAUUUUACCACUAAUCUAUUUUAAGAUUUUUAAAAAAUCGUACUUUAGAUUAUCUAAUUUAAAUUUUAAAAUUAUUAAAAAUAAAAAAAUUCUUAAUAAAAAAAUUUGUUUCAAAUUUUUAACCUUUUAAUAUAAUUGUUUUAACUGGUUAUCUAAACUAAAUAAAAACUUAUUUAGUAUAAAAAAAAGUGGUAAAUGUGAAAGGAGCACAAAUCACAACUACAAUAUGCUACAUUAGUUUUAUAAUUGGAUUAAUUUAAUCACCGGCAGAGGAAAUGUGUUAGUUCUAGCUACCACCAAUUUAUUUUAAUUCCUUUAAAAAUAUUAGAAAAAAUCAAUUUGAUUUUUAAUAAUAGAUCUAAUUACUUAAAGGAACAUCGGUGAUGUCCACAUGGCAUACAAGGUUAAGCAUAUAAAAAAAGAACAAAAAGAUUAAGUAUCUUUGCAAGAUAGCUUUCUGAAAUAAAUAAAACUUAAAUAAAAACAAUUUUAUUAUCAAAAUAAAAAGAAAAAAGAAAAGAAAUACUAGUGUUUUUAAUUAAAAUAGAGUGAUCUGGGUAGAAUCUUUUACUUAAAUACUGACAUUGACUUUAUAAGCUAUUUUUUAUCAAAAGAAGAAAGAGAAAAGCAUCCGAUUGAAGAUGUGAAUUAUUAAAUUAAAAUUAAUCAUACAUGUAAAAUUUUAUUGUGCUUUUUUCUAGCCCUCCGAAUGACAUUAUGCUUUGAUUACAACAUUCUUGCUCAGAGAUCGGGUUUGAAGAUGAACUCGGAUGCAUUUAGAUUUUUACAAGUAAAUUAAAGGAUGUUAGAACUUGUAUUCCGAUAAACUUAUAAUACAGAAAGCAAGUAAUAUGUGACUGUACAUAAUGGCUAUGAGGCGAGGAUAUGAUAUGAGAAGAUAGAGAUGAGAGAUUGCACUUAAGGGGUUAACACCACUUUCCUUUUUGUGUUUGGUCCCCAAAGCAUCUCUUAUUGGCUGAUGUUGCAAGGCCGUCCCAUAAGUUGGUCUAAAAGUGCUUGAUAGCUAGAAUUAAUAUUGUGGUAUAACAUAUGUCACCACUAGGUUUGAAUAAGGUUACACAGUGAUUUGAUGAAGAUUUAAAAAAGCAUAGAGAUAAUUAUGUUGCAAAUAUUGUAAAAGUAAGAGCUAAAUUGUUUGGCUUUAUUAGAGUUUAGACUCUGUUAGUCUAUUACCAUUCUCUAUUAGUCUGUUACCAUUUUGUUAUAUAGGCUGUAAUAUUGUUAGAAAGCAGUUAGCAGCUGUUAGUCAUAGUAGUUAGUCAUACAAAUAUAAAUUCUAUUCAUGUAUUGUUCAAAGGUAAGCUAAUAAUAUCAGAAGCGAUUUAAUGUAUUCAUUCUACUUUUUUUUUAUUCUUCAUAAUACAGUUGUUAACAUGGUAUCAGUACCCUAAUUUCUUAGAGGUCGCUUCUAUUGUAGAUCCAUGGCCAAUUCCACUGAUUCUACCUCCACUGGUCGUAGCAGUCCCUCGUUCUCGAUUCAUGUUUGGUUCAAUCGUUUCCUCGUCGUCACACUGAGAAGUUAGAUGAAAGAAAUGUUAUGCAAUGCCAACAGCAUAUCCUAUUGAUAAUUGAAGGGUAUGAACUCAUAAGAUUUUUAGAAGGGACGUUACCUACUCCGCCUCGCUUUGUGUCAUCUCCCGAUGGAACCUUGGCUUCGGCUCCCGAUGCAUUCCUGUUUGUUCAGCAAGAUAAGUUACUCGCUCUUUGGUUGCUUUCUACGAUUAGUGCUCCUUUGUUGUCCUCUUUUAUAGCUGCUAAGACACCGUGUGAGGUUUGGAGCACUGUGAAUCACCUCUUUACUGUUUCCACCAGAGCGAAGUUAUCGCGUAUUAAGCAUGAACUCCACUCCAUCAAGAAAGGCAUGAUGACUGUCAAAGAGUAUAUUAUUAAGAUUCAAAAUACCUGCACCUUACUCGAGGCAUCUGGAUUGGUGGUUUCGAAGGCCGAGAAGGUAGAGAUCAUUCUUGCUGGCCUAUCGUCAGAUUAUGAUGUCGUUUUAACACUACCAUAGUUCUCUUCUGAAACUCUUCCGUUACAGAAGAUAGUUGUUGUGCUACUGAAGUUCGAAAGCCGUCAGACUCAUGUCGUGAAUGACAUACCUUUUCAUGCUCAUCUGGUAGAGGCCACUUCGGCGACAUCGGUGGAGGACUCCGUACAUGGUAGCCAUCCUCCUCCUGGUGCUCGUGGGCAUGACUUUCGACUCGGCUUCAGUUCCAGAUCUAUGGUUGCUAUGGACAUCUGGCACAACGCUGUUAUUAUCAUUUCAACCGCGAAUACAGUGGUCUAUCUGCUCUGACCAUGGCGCAGGCUUCGCUUUUGUGCUGGGCACUAUUCGUGUGACAAUGUUUUUGGUGCAACUGGUCUCUUGACCGGCUGGUUUCCAUCAGCUCAUCCUAGUUCAAACCCCUUCGAUGUGCCUGGACAGUGUGCCGAUUCUUCGGUGACGGUACCGGCGCAUUUCCCUUAUGGCUCCUCUUGGGGAGGAUGGCCACAUUUGUAAAACAAUGCCUCCCUUGUGCCAAGUCUACCGAAUGUUAGGGUUUCUAACCUUUUUGCUCCUAAUUUUAACAAUGAGGCAAGCUAAGUGUUUGGGCCCGCUGUUGAACCAGGCUCAAAUAGUGACCAAUCUGGUGGUCCUCACUUGCCGCUGAAGAUGGGCUAACGCAUUGGGCCAUUCGCUGGUGUUCCUAGGCCAACUGCUUCAGGCCAAGAUUUUGGCCUAAAUGGAAUUGGUAGGCCAGCCAGUGCUCGUCCUAGCAUUGGAUAGGGUUCACUUGGGUCAAAUGUCAAUUUUAUUGGACUUGAGGGUUCUUUUGGGUAUAGACAAGAGUUUGGGCCCACCACUGGCAAUGUUUCAGUGCCAAUUAAUAGAUCAUGUGUUCCAUGGCACACAAAAUCGAGGGCACGCGUUAUUGAUUUUGAUUCUUCGCUGUGCGUUGGGUUGCAUCGCUUUACUAAUUUUCACGCAUCCGAUUUUUUUACUACCACUGGGUCUAAUGCCAAUACAACUCCAUAUAGGUCUAAUUUUGAUAAUGGUAAUUCUUACAUUCCUAUGCCUAUAGGGACCUCAUCAUGGUGUCUUGAUUUAGGGGCUACGCAUCAUGUCUGUUGAGAAGUCUCUGCCUUGAAUAAGUCUACGCCAUACUCAAGUACAUCUCCUUUCUUCACGGAUGAUGGUAUUCCUACAAAAAUAUCGUAUGUUCGGAAUCUUAUCUUGUCUAUGAAAACCAAAUUGCUUCAUUUGUCUAAUGUUUUGUGUGUGCCAAAUAUACGGAAGAAUUUGCUAUUUGUUUCUCAGUUUGCUAAUGACAAUAACGUGUUCUUUAAAUAUCACCUGUCUUAUUGUGUUAUUAAAGACAUCCAGACUCAUGAAAUUUUACUACGGGGCUACACUCGUGAUGGGCUCUAUUAUUUUUCGUCGGUUACUCUUGCUCUGUUUGUCGUUGUUCCUUUUUUCAUAGCACUGGGAUCUAGAGUCGCAAUGCAUAUGAUGAUUGUUUUGCAUUAUGGCAUCACAGGCAUAGUCAUUUGUCUGCCUCGAUUGUUAAACUUGUUCUCGAUAAGUGUCAAGUUGUUUCAAAAUAAAAUGUGCCUUGAAAAUAUUUGUAUUGCAUGUCAAAACGGGAAGUCUCACAAACUGCCUUUUUCAAGUUCUACUACUGAAUAUACAAAUUUGUUUGAUUUGGUUGUCUCUAACUUAUGGGGACCAACGUCUGUUGUCUGUAGAAAUAAUUUAUAUUAUGUUUUGUUUAUCGAGAUGUGUAGUUGAUAAACCGUAAUUUAUACAUAUUUUUAUCCUAUGUUUGGCACAUUUAUAGAUGAUUUAUCCUUAGAUUUGGUGAAUUCGAUGCUCCUAAUCCUUUAAUUUCAUAUUUUAUACUUAGGAGAGCAUAGGAGGGCAAAAAGAGCGAGAAACGGGCCGAAAACGGAAAAAAUAGACCCACAUGGGAAAUCAACAUGGCCUGGACUUCCUCACACUGGUAAGCCACACGGCCGUGUCCAUUUGGCAGGAUCGAAGCAAGACUUACACGAGUAGACUACACGCCCGUGCCUUUUUAAUAGCCUUGACCACUGUCUGGAGCAAUCGCGCACGGGCAUGUCCCUGUCGAGCCCAAGUAUAGUCUUAUUCGGAAAAGGUCUAUUUUAAGGGCUCUUAGGCAUUCUAAAGCUUAUUUAAUCACCUGAGAAGGCACUUAAAAGGGGGGACACGGAGUAGGAAGCAAGGAAUUACUCGAAGAAAGCCGAUUGAUCCAUCUCAGAAGCCUGAUUAUUCAUCAAGACUGAAAAUCUCCCUUCAAUUACCAUUCAGGAGUUUUGGGUUUUCUUUAUGUUUUGUAUUCAUUAUUCUUCUGAGAUGUUUUCUUUUAUAAUUAUGAUUUAAACCCUCUAAAUACCUAAGGGGAAUGAAACCUAAACGGAUCUUGUUAUUAUUAUCUGAAUUAUAUGAUAAAUAUUUGACUUGUUUUUAAUUAUAUGUUCUUAAUUCUUGUCUUAAUAUUCCAGGAUAUUGAUUCAAGUUAAUGCGCUUAUUCAGAGGAGCAAAAGUCCCUGUCUAAGAGUAAAUUUGUCAUAAUUAAACAGAGUUGAUUGCACACCUAAAGAUAGGGUAACAAGAUUUUGCCGAAUUAGGGUGAAACCUAAUAAGGAGAUCCAUAGAUCGAGUUAAUGCAACACUAGGGCGUUAAAUAGAAAGAGAUUUCAAUUAAUCAACCUAGGGUUAGAUGUUAUUAGUCUUGAGAGAGAUAAUAAUAUAACUUAGGGAUUUGUACGGAUCAUGUCAAAUGGAUAAAUCGACUGAUUCAGAGUCAAAUAACAAGUGAAGUCUAGGUGGAUUUUUCCUUGGGUAUUGUCCUAAUCAAGCGAAUUUUCUAAAAGUAUUUUCCCCAAUUUUUCAAGCGAAUUUUCUAAAAGUAUUUUCCCCAAUUUUCUUUCUCUGCACCCUUAGUUUAGUUAAUUAGUUUUAAUAAACAAAUCCUUUAAUUUUUAGGUUAGAUAAUAAAAAGAAAGUGAUUACUAGUACUCUUGGUUCCUUUGGGUUCGACAAUUCGGUCUUGCUAAAGCUAUAUUACUGUUCGAUAGGUACACUUGUCUUUAUCGUGAUAAUAGUUGGUUUCAAUAACGAUCAUUUCUAAAUUAUUUAAAACUUAUCGCAAGUAUCAUGAAUCAAGUUUUUGGCGCCGUUUCCGGGGAACUAAGAUAUUAGGAACACUUGAUUUUUAUUACUUUAGCCAUUUUUCUUUAUUUUUACUUUAAAUUUUUAUUUUCUUUUCUAAUUUUUCUUUUAUUUGUUCCUGACAGGUUUUUAUAGUUUAUGAUUAGAAGAAACCCGUCGGGACCAUUACUGUUUGAUAGUGAGAUCGAUCGCACAGUUCACAGAAACCAAAGAAAAAUAAGACGAAGCUUAAGAUACAAAAAGGAAGAGUAAGACGACGAUACUUCAACCACAAUCGAGAAGAUGGCUGAAAACCAGGAAAAUUUGCUACCUCCUGUGAUUUCUGCUGAUCCAGUAAAUCAGAAUCCUACUCCACGCACUAAGUAUGAUUAUGCUAAACCUACUUUAACAGGAACUGAGUCAAGUAUAGUUAGGCCUGCUAUUGCUGCGAAUAAUUUUGAACUGAAACCUAACACAAUUGAAAUGAUACAGCAAUUUGUUCAGUUUGAUGGUUUGCAGGAUGAGGAUCCAAACAACCACUUGGAAAAUUUUCUAGAGUUUUGCGAUACAUUUAAAAUCAAUGGCGUUUCUACUGAUGCCAUUCGCCUUCAGUUAUUCCCUUUUUCAUUGAGGAACAAAGCUAAACAGUGGUUGAACUCGUUACCACAAGGGUCAAUCACUGCUUGGGAACAAAUGACCGAAAAAUUUUUAUUAAAAUAUUUUUCGUCGACUAAAACAGCCAAAUUACGUAAUGAUAUCUCUUCAUUUAUGCAAAUGAAUAUAGAAACACUCUAUGAUGCAUGGGAGAGAUACAAGGACCUUUUAAGAAGAUGUCCUCACCAUGGGUUACCACUCUGGCUACAGGUUCAAACGUUUCACAAUGGCCUGAAUCCUUCGACUAGACAGAUGAUUGACGCAGCUGUUGGAGGAACUAUCAAUAAUAAGACACCUGAGGAUGCUUAUGAAUUUAUAGAAGAGAUGUCACUAAAUAAUUAUCAAUAGCAAGUCAUGAGGACAAAACCGAUGAAAGCAACCGGGGUUUUUAAUGUUGAUUCGGUCACCAUACUUUCUAAUCAGGUAGAACUUUUGAAUAGAAAAAUUAACAGUUUUUUUGGUUCUUCACAGGUUCACCCAGUAAUGCAAUGCAAUGCAAGUGGGGGAGAAUUGAGCAAUUCAGAAUGCCCACCCUAUGGCCACAACAUGAAAAACAAGCAAUUAAAUUAUAUGGAUAAUAAUCCUCGACCUCAAAAUAAUCCUUAUAGUAACACUUACAAUACAGGAUGGAGGAACCACCCAAAUUUCUCAUGGGGAGGCCAAGGGAAUCAGAGACCACCACCAUUUCCAGGUUUCUAACAGCAACCUUACCAGCAAAAUAAAAAUUUGAACCUUGAGGAAAUGCUAACAAAAUUCAUCUUGGUGUCAGAAACUCGUUUCCAGAAUACCGAGACAGCACUUAAAAAUCAACAAGCGUCGAUCCAAGGGCUCGAAACUCAGAUAGGCCAGCUCGCUAAAUUGAUAUCUGAAUGAACACAAGGUAGCCUACUGAGUAACACUGAAUCUAACCCAAGGGAGCAACUCAAUGCGAUUGCCAUUCAAGAUGAGGAAGGGUUAGUUACAUCUAAACCAGAACCGAGGCAAGAAACUGUGGUAAGUAAAGGUAAAGGUAAGGUAAACCACAUCGAGCAGAAACCGGUAAGUAAAGAGUACAAACCACGAGUGUCAUACCCAAAUGCGACAAAGAAAGACCAUACAGAUGAACAAUUUUGUAAACUCCUUAAACUAUUAAAGAAAUUACACAUUAACUUACCGUUUAUUGAAGCCCUUUCGUAGAUGCCGAACGCAGUCAAGUUUUUAAAGGAGCUUUUAGGAAACAAGUGAAAGUUGGAUGAAGCGUCGCAUGUGGAGUUGAACGUAGCUUGCUCAGCUAUUCUACAAAAUAAGCUACCCAACAAAUUAAAAGAUCCAGAGAGUUUUACAAUUCCUUGCUUAAUUGGUAGCUUAGAUGUUAAUAAUACUUUGGCUGAUUUAGGGGCUAGCAUCAAUGUCAUGCCUUACAAAAUGUUUAAGUAACUAGGUCUUGAGAAACCCAAACAAACUAAGAUGAGUAUUCAAUUAACCGAUGAAACAAUUAGAUUUCCUAGGGUUAUUAUUGAAGAUGUACUCAUUAAAAUUGACAAAUUUAUAUUCCCAGUUGAUUUCGUUGUUCUAGACAUAGAGGAGGAUAGUAACGUUCCUUUAAUUUUAGGGAGCCCUUUUUAGCAACUGUUAGAACAAUAAUUGAUGUUGGCACAGGUGAACUCACACUUCGUGUGGGAGACGAAACAAUCACCCUUUAAGCUCGUAAUUCAAGUAACACAUCAAAAAUUGAAGGUGGUUGUAUAAAUCAUACUAUUAAAACUGAUCAUUUGGUGAAACCUUCCUGGCAGGAAACACGUUCAAAGAACACACCUGAGCCAUGUUCGAGUAACGACAAAAGACCUAUCUAUGAAGAAUGAAGGCUACAACUUGAGGAACUAGAUGAAUAGCUGACACAUAAACCGAGGACACACGAUAAACCAAAACCAUGCCAUGACGAGCUCAAUAUUUCACCAAAUCAACUUAAGGUUGGAGACAAAGUACUACUAGAUGCGGUAGACCCUCGUAUUGCUACGUCUGAACCUAACGGAGCAAUCCCUCUUACAGUACUCAACAUUUUCCCAUAUGGUACAGUCGAGGUUAUUCAUCCCAAACUCGGCACUUUUAAGGUAAACAGUACUCGUCUUAAACCUUAUUUUGAUAAAAUUGAUAGCAGGGAUGAGGAGUGUGAACUCCUCACAUCACAAUGACCAUGCAACAGAAAGGUAAGUCGAGCUUAGACUAUAAAUAAGCGUUUUUCGGGAGGCAACCCGAGCAUUAAUGAUGUUAACUUUUUUAAAAUUUUAGUUUUUUACAUCUAAUCACUAACUGAGUCAGUGAAACACAGGUUUUCUAAUCUACACGGCCAAGCACACGGACAUGCCUUAGGCCGUGCUCACACCAUGGGAGGAGACACAGCCGUGCGAUACUGCCGUGUGAAAACAGGGUAAAAUUUUUCCUUAACACGGGAUGUGAUAAGUUGCCACGGCCGUGCGAUGUAGCCGUGGGCGAGUCUUUCAAACCAACACAGGCGUGUGACACACCCGUGUCUAUAAACCAUGGUUGAAACUGAGAAUUUAGCACGAGCAUGUCCUAUCAACCGUGCUCAAGACUGAAAAAAGAACACGGGCGUGGACAUCUAUACACGGGCAUUGGAGAAGAGAAUGAAACAGAACAUGGUCGUGUGACACAGACGUGUGCACCAACACGCCCAAAGAGCACGGGCGUGUGAAGAAUUUCAGACACGCCCAAAUUUGAAAAUUACGAUAAACACGAGCUGAAAUAAGGGCACAUGGGGGUGCCCCACGACCGUGUGCCCCAAAAUCUAUAUAAACCCCUUACUAUUCAUCACCCCCUUCCCCAAAAUCUCUAACCCUAGCCGCUGCAACUUCACAUGCCCUACCUGCCACGCCCGUGCACCGUCCACAGCACCACCUUUGACAACCCAAAGCUCCUCCCUCUUACGUUUGUACAUUUUUUUCCUUCUAUUCUCUUCAUUCUUUUACUUAUUUGAUGAUAUUUUAUUUUAUUUUGAGUAAAUAAUCAUAGUUAUAAUGAUAGAAUACUUAUGCUCUUUGUUAAGAAAUUUACCAUUUUAAUUGAUAUAUUUUGCUGCAUUUAUCCACUUUUCUUGUUUCCAUAGAUUUCAUGCUUACCCACACCAUAUUUCAUACUUAUUAAACCCACAUGCAUUCAUUCAAUAGAUAUUUCCAUUAGCAUUACUCUCGUAGUCCUAUUCAUAGUAAUGACUUAAUAUAUCUGAUUGGGUUAUUUUUAGUAUAGUUGUUCUUUAGUACAUGACUUCUAUGAAGUAUCUCUAUUAGUUUUACCAUGCAUAUUUUCUAUGCUAUUGCUGGGGAGUAAUUUUAUUUUUUAUUUUUUCUUGCCAUUGUAGGUAUACUAUCUCAACCUUACGUGGUAAGGAGACCGCCAUCCCCUCUUCGAAGAAAAGGAAAGGAGCAACGUCAUCCUCAGGUCCUACCGCUGAGAUCCGUUACCCUUUCCUCCAGUUUCCCUUUGGACCCCAGGAGGAACUAUUUCAGAUAUUACGGGUCCGACCCUUAGGUGUAGGCCACUGCAUUGACUGGGCUGCACUUAAAAAAAUUCAAAUGGCUGACGUGGUCCAAGCCCUCCUGACGACUACCCGUGGAGGCUUUUCUUUGAGAUCAUCGAGCCGAUGUACCACGAGCUCACAAUGGAACUCUACUCGACCUUCCAUCUUCAAGUCGCCAUGAUAAACUGCGACGAUCCUAGAACGGUCCAAUUCCACCUCAGUGGUCUAGUGCGCCAGUUGAGCGUACCGAAGUUCAGAAUUGCACUAGGGCUGUAUAUGGAAGAGUUCAUGGAUGACAACGAACUUGACACCCUCUAUUGCCACAUCCACUACUCUCUCUCCAAAUGCUGGAAGGACUUUGUCCCUGCCUCGGCCACCUAUGAUCCUAACUACUCUAAGGCAUCAGCCCUCACCCCAUCCCUGUGAUACCUACACGCCAUCUUAGCCCACACUCUGACAGGGCGGCGAGAGAGCACCGGCAUCAUCAACACUCACGACGCCUACUUUUUAUAGAGCAUGGCAAACGGGCACGUCUUCGACCUUGCCUAUUUCAUUGCUCUCGCCAUCCGCCAUCAGACGGAGCGGCAUAGGAGAGGAGUUAUCACCAUUAGCCACUAUGUGACUCGACUGGCACGGCACUUCGGGCUCCUCAACACAGCAGCAUAAUCAUCCUCACUCACUCUCAUUGGUCAUAUGUCCCCUCAAGGCAUCUCGAGUAUGCUACAUAUGAGGAUGCUCGAGAAACGACGUGGAACUUACCCUCCUCAGUACCGCCUCGUCCAGUCCACUAAAGAGGAGAACCCAUAAGACAUUACUGAUGAUGUCCCUCCACGUCAUGAGGACCCACCGUCUCAACCAUCACCCAUCCAUCGUCCAGUUCAUGCGGUGGCUUCAUACUCUGAUAUCUCUAAGCACCUUACUCGAUUUAAGCAGCAGUGUUUUCAGUGCUUUGAUCACAUUGAUGCUACUCUUCAUCAGAUUUGUCAGCACCUUCACAUCUCAUCGCCACCACCACCUCGCGAACCAUCCGGCGAUGCUGAUGUUUAAAGACUUUUUAUUUUUUAUUUUUAUUUCCACUUUUAUCUUUAUUUAUCUUCUUUAAGUAGUUUUUAUUUUAUUUUCCUUUAAUAUUAUUUCAAUUUUAGGUUUUAUAAUUUUUAUUGAAUAAUUUAUAGUUUUGGCUAUUUUAUUACGAGUAAUUAUGCUUCCUUAUAUUUCCUAAAGAGUUCUUGAUUUUAUCACAGUUAUAAAGAGCUCUAAAGCUCAUCAUCACUUAGGAACUAAAAAAUCACUGGAAAAGGUUCUCCACAACUGUCAAGUCCUGCUCGACCACGACCACAGCUACUACCAGAUAUAAUAUUCUGUUGGCGCAGGACUUAUGGACUAAUGAACCUCUACCACCACCGGAGUAUCCUCCUCCACUCUCAUCAUUGCCUUGGCUGAUUAUUCUCCAUAACUCCAAUUGAAGGAGUUCAUUCAUCAUUCAGGAAGUUUAACUUCUCUUCUUAUCUUAUGAGUAUUUAUCUAUAUUUUUCAGUAUAUCUAUCUUUGUACAUUGAGGGCAAUAUACAUCUUAAGUGUAGAGGGUCUUUUAUAUCAUUAUCAGAAAAAUCCCUGAAUUUUAUCUUGUUCUCAAAUCAUCUUCUCAUAUCAUUAUUAGAAUAAAAUUUGAUUAAUUUAUGAUUGUUAUUGAUAUGUCUUCAAUUAAAACAUAGGCAUUCAUGUAUUGAUUGUUUAAACUUUAAGGAAUUAGAUAAUCAAGCAGGAUAAGUUGAUUUUUGAGAAUUAAAAAUUUUUAGGUUGUUUCCCCAAGUUUAGGUAUUAUCUCGAGUUAAAAUUCACAGGGUUAACAUCAACAAGCCAUAAUUUCUGUAAGAUCUUGAGCCUUUAGAGCAACUAUUAUUUCUUUCAUGCUCACUGUUAUUAUUGAUAAUGAGUGUGUCAAUAUUGAUUUAUUAUUCUAGAACUUGCUUGAUUAUGCAUGUCAAGACCACACCCUUGAGUUAAUAUGUCAAUAUGAUAAAGGCACCUAGGUUUAACCCACUCACUCCAUAAAAGCAUACCUUCAUAAUUUACCCUUAGUGAACCCCUUUGAGCCUAACAAGCCAUUAAUUGAUUUACCCUCAAUGUUAACCCAUAACACAUUAUUGUUGAAAUCCCCUAAUUUGAUCCCUAUUUUUGUCGAGAUUUGAUUUGAAUUAUUGCAUAGCUAUGUUUUAUUCUUCGUUGCAAUAAUUAGCAAAGUCCUAUGUUAUUUCACUUGUUUAUUUCACUUGUUCCUAAAAAAAAAUACAAUACUUACUUACAUAUUAAUAGUAAUUCGUCAUUUUUGAGCUUAAGUGUUAAUUCCAUAUUCUAAGAAGAAGCUCACUCGUAUUCAACUUAUAAUUAGUUGUUUUUCUAGUUAGGUGAUUUUUUUAAUUCAAUCUCGAUUCUAACCUUUCCUUUUAGCUUGUGACCACACCCCCUAACCAAAGCCACGUUACAACCCUCUAAAGACCUUUUGAUUGAUGUAUCAUCUCAAUAUAUAGUGGUGGAGAUUUGAUUUUCUGCAAGCCUAUGGUAAUAACUUUUCAUAUUGACUAAUGAGUGCUUCAUUUAUUAUCCUUAAACACCUCGAGUGAUUUGAGUGAAUCUUUAGUGAGGAUGUUAAACUCCGUGAUAUUUUGAAUCAAAGGUAAUCACUUAGAUGAGGGGAGACACCUAUGUUUUCGUGAUGAAAUGCUCAACUUGGAAUGUUUGAAACUUUGAUAUUCUUCUAGUUGAAUUCUCCAUGUAUGAUUACUUAUGAUUUAUUUUAAGAUAUUAUUGAUAGAGAUUAUAGAUUGAGAAGAAUUUAUUUUGAUUGUGAGUUGAGGAUUUUGCUUGAGGACAAGCAAACGCUUAAGUGUGAGAGUUUUUGAUAAACCGCAAUUUAUACAUAUUUUUAUCCCAUGCUUAGCACAUUUAUAUAUGAUUUCUCCUUAGAUUUGGUGAAUUUGAUGCACCAAAUCCUUUAAUUUCAUGUUUUAUACUUAGGUGACCAUAGCAGAGUAAAAAGAGCGAGAAACAGGUCGACAACGGAGAAAAAUAGACCCACAUGGGAAAUCGACACGGCCUGGACUUCCUCACACGGGUAAGCCACACGGCCAUGUCCAUUUGGCAGGAUCGGCGUACAAUUUACACAGGUAGACUACAUGCCCACGAUUAUUUAGCAACCUUCACCACGGUUUGGAGCAAUCGCACACGGGCGUGUCACACAGGCGUGUCCCUGUCGAGCCCAAGUAAAGUCCUAUUCGAAAAAGGCCACUUUUGAUGGCUCUUAGGCAUUCUAAAGCCUAUUUAAACACCUGAGGAGGCAGUUAGAACGGGGGGACACAGAGUAGGAAGCAAUGAAUUACUCGAAAAAAGCCGAUUGAUCCAUCUCAGAAGCUGGAUUAUUCAUCAAGACUGAAGAUCUCUCUUCAAUUUCCAUUCAAGAGUUUUGGGUUUUCUUUAUGUUUUGUAUUCAUUAUUCUUCUAAGGGGAAUGAAACUUAAGACGAAUCUUGUUAUUAUUAUCUAAAUUAUAAGAUAAAUAUUUGACUUGUUCUUAAUUAUGUAUUCUUAAUUCUUGUCUUAAUAUUUCAGGAUAUUGAUUCAGGUUAAUGCGCUUAUUCAGAGGAGCAAAAGUCCCUGUCUAAGAGUAAAUUUGUCAUAAUUAAGUGGAGUUGAUUGCACGCCUAGAGAUAGGGUGACAAGAUUUUACCAGAUUAUGGUGAAACCUAAUAAGGGAUCCAUAGAUCGAGUAAAUGCAACACUAGGGCGUUAAUUACAAAGAGAUUUCAAUUAAUCAACCUAGGGUUAGAUGUUAUUAGUCUCGAGAGAGAUAAUAAUAUAACUUAGGGAUUUCUACGAAUCAAGUUAAAUGAACAAAUCGCCUGAUUCAGAGUCAAAUAACAAGUGAAUCUAGGUGGAUUUUUCCUUGGGUAUUGUCUUUAUUAAUCGAAUUUUCUAAAAAGUAUUUUCCCAAUUUUUAGGCUAGAUAAUAAAAAGAAAGUAAUUACUAGUACUCUUGGUUCCUUUGGGUUCGACAAUUCGGUCUUGUUAAAGCUAUACUACUGUUCGAUAGGUACACUUGCCUUCAUCGUGAUAAUAGUUGGUUUUAAGAACGAUCAUUUAUAAAUUAUUUAAAACUUAUCGCAAAUAUCAUAAAUCAGUAGUCGUUUUACAUGGAUUUAUCUCAUUAAAUGAAUGUCUCAGAUGGUUGACUAUUUUUUUCAGUUUCAAAAAAUGGUCAAAACUCAGUUUGGGAAAGAUAUUAAAAAUUUUCAAAGUGAUUGGGGUGGUGAGUUUCGUGCCUUCGCAUCAACUCUUGCUAUUCAUGGGAUACUUCAUCACCUCUCCCGUCCACAUACAUCCGAGCAGAACGGUAUAGCCAAACCAAAACAUCAAGACAUUGUUGAGAUAGGUCUUACUCUCUUGACCCAAGCUAAUAUGCCCAUGGAUUUCUGGGGUUACGUGUUUUGCAGUGUCGUUUAUCUCAUUAAUCGUCCACCUACCUUGGUUUUGAAAGGUCAAUCUCCGUAUUAAGUUCUUCAUGGUAGUGACCCUACAUAUGAUCAUUUACGGGUGUUUGGGUGUUAUUUCUUUCCAUACUUGCGUCUGUUUCUGCAACAGAACUUGGAUUUUUGUUCUCAGCCUUGCACAUUUUUAGGGUAUAGUUCUCAACAUAAAGGCUAUCACUGCCUCACACCAGAUGGUAAGGCCAUUGUCUCUUAUCAUGUUGUGUUUGAUGAACGUCGAUUUCUCUUUUUUUUUAUGUUGCAAACACCGUCCAGUCAGGUCCAUGUAUCUCUACAUAUGUUCCUAUUGCUCAGUCUUCAUCUGCCGCGCCACGGCAUCCUCGCUUGUUCAGCCCAUUAAGUCCUCUUGACUCUUACUCCUAAUUGUAGUUCCAAGACGUCUAUUUCAGUUGACUCUCCGACUGAAUUGGGUUCUACUCAUGAGGUGCACCGGCUCUUCACCUCAUCUCCUGAAUCACGUCAAUGCGACUCUACUACAAUUCCCUCGGUUAUUCCAUCUAUUUUUCUAGAGAAUACUCAUAACAUGAUUACUCGGUCUAAGGCUAGUAUUUCUAAACCCAAAGCUUUCUCUGUUGAAACUGUCGACUAUGAGCCACACACGAUUGAUGAGGCACUCGCUAGUAAGGAAUGGCAAUUAGUUGUCCAAGCUGAGUUUGUUGCUCUAAUGGCUAACUCUACCUGGGAGCUUGUUCCCUUACUUCAUUGUCGAAAAGUGAUUGGGUGUAAGUGGCUUUUUAAAAUAAAAAAAAUCCUGAUGGGGCUAUCACUUGGCACAAGGCUCAGCUGGUAGCAAUGGGUUGUUCUUAGGUACCUGGGUGUGAUUUCAAAGAAACCUUUAGUCUAAUGGUUACACCUACUACUAUUAGAAAAAUAUUGUCUAUUUCUGUUUCCAAUGGGUGAAAACUUCGUCAAAUCGAUGUGAAUAAUACCUUUUAAGAUGGUGAUCUCACUGACGAAGUGUUUAUGCAACAACCUUCAGGCUAUGUUCAGAUUGGUCCAUAUCGUGAGCUAUUGGUGUGUCGUCUGAAAAAGGAGUUGUAUGGAUUACGACAAGCUCCACGUGCCUGGUUUGAUAAAUUGAAACAUUUUUUCUACCAGAUUUGUGUUAUCCAAAUCUGAUGCAUCCCUGUUUGUUCGAGUUACGUACGUAUCCACUAUUUAUGUUCUAAUCUAUGUGGAUGAUAUUACCGUUACUGAAAGUACGACUGACGGUAUAAAUGACUUUAUUCAACAGUUACAUAAUAAGUUUUCCCUUAAAGAUAUGGGAGAUCUUCACUACUUCUUAGGUAUUCAAGUCACUCGGUCAUCCACUAGAAGUCUUCAUUUGUGCCAACGCAAAUACAUCUAGGAUCUGCUUGACAGGAGUUCCUGGGCUAACGUGAAAAGUGUUCACACACUGAUGGUUAGUUCUUUUACAUUGUCUAAAGAUGAGAAAAAUCACCUCGUUGAUCCCACUAAAUAUAGGAGCCUUGCCGGAGCAUUACAAUAUGUGGUCUUAACUCGGCCUAAUAUUGCUUAUGCGGUAAAUCGUGUUUGUCAAUUCAUGCAUAUGCCUACUACGGUACAUUUGGUGGCUUUGAAAAUAAUCUUGCGCUAUUUACGUGGCACUAUUGAUCAUGGGUUAAUUUUUCGUCCGUUCGACAGAUUGUCUUUAGUUGGCUAUGCUGAUUCCAACUGGGGACUGGAUUUUGAUGAUCGUCAGUCAACCAUAGACUAUUGUGUGUAUUUUGGACAUACAUCCAUCUUUUUGUGUUCUAUGAACCAACAAGUUAUUUUUCACUCCACGGCUGAUGCGAAGUAUCGUAGUCUAGCAGUAGCUACCAGUGAUGUUACUUGGUUAGCCUCUCUGUUAACGAAUUUAAAAAUUUGUUCUGCAAAUCCACUUACUAUUUGGUGUGACAAAUCUAGUGCAAUAGUGGUUGCUGCUAAUCCGGUUUUACACUCCAAAUUUAAACAUGGCGAGCUUGAUCUAUUUUUUGUUCGCGAAAAUGUCACUAAUGGUUCUCUCAUUGUUGGCGAAGUUCCGGCAUGUGAUCAGGUUGCUAGUAUUCUCACAAAACCAUUGUCCAUCUCUACUUUUGCUAGGUUUCAUAGUCUGCCUCAAGUCUUACCUCUUGAGAAGCUGGAUGAAGCCGGGUGAAUAUUAGAGUAUAGACUCUAUUAGUCUGUUACCAUUUUGUUAUACAGGCUAGAAUAUUGUUAGUAACCAGUUAGCAGCAAUUAGUCAUAGCAGUUAGUCAUACAAGUAUAAAUUCUAUUUAUGUAUAGUUCAAAGGUAAGCUAAUAAUACCAGAAGAGAUUUAACGUGUUCAUUCUACUUUCUUUGUUAUUCUUCAUAAUACAGUUGUUAACAGGCUUGAUAUCAUCUCUUAGAGAAAACUAGGAGAGAUAAGAGUAAGAGUAUGAGCAAACUAUGGAUAAGGCUCUACCAUAAUACCUUAGAUGCAGUUAAAGUAAGAGUAAGAGCCAACUUGUUUGGCUUGAUAGCAUCCCCUUAUAGAAAAAGCUCUACCGCAUGGCAUUAGAGCAAUAAAAGUAACACUUAAUUUCUUGGUUGAUAGCAUCUCGUAGGGGAAAAAGGUUUACCAUGUGACAUGAAAGUAAUUAAAGUAAGAUUAAGAGCUAACUUGUUUGUCUUAAUCGCAUUGUUUAAGAGAGAUCCAAAUAAAUUUACUCAAAAUAUGUUAAUCAAAUAAUGCAAAUUACAAUGUUUUGUCAAUUUUUCCUUUAAUUGUAACUGGGUUAAAGUUGGUAGUUGUAACUGGUACUAAUAGAAUAGAUUUGGUAGAAAUGGUUGAAAGCAACAUAAGCAAAGAUGACUUUGAUGUCAUUGUAUUGACCACGUGGGAACUAUAGAAUGUAGAGAAUAGUAUGGUGAUUGGCAUCAGAAUGUUGCUAACUUUGAGGACAGUAGAUAAGGAUGGAUCCAAAGGGGCUGUGGGCGGCCCCCUUGAAAUUUUCAAAUUUUUGAAUUUAUAUAUAAAUUAUCAUGUAUUUUAGAUUUGGUGUCCACAUUGUAUAACAUUCACCCCCUUUGCCAAAUUGUAUUUCAUAUCAUUCGCCCCCUUAAACCAUAAGGUUAUACUUUAUAUUAACAAAGUAUUUUCCAUUUUUUUUAAUUAUAUAAAUUUAAUAAUAACAAUAAUAAUAAAAUAUUAAUGUAUGAUAGGCAUUGAAAGACUAAACUUAUAGGUCCAAUUUGGACUUUAAAGCCAAAUUCUAUAAUUAAUUAAUUGAUUUGGCUCAUACCUAUACAUAUUAGGUUAGCGACUUUCUUGUAUUUUGAUUUGUAUGUCUUCUUAAGGAAUUAUCUUCCUUUGGUAAAGUGUUGACACUACCAAGAGAAAAAGAAAGGAUUUUGAUGACGAGACUAAGAGUAUAGAGCAAAAAUAUACAAAUUAUCUUCCUCUUGGCUCCUUAUGCAAAAAACCUCUCGGUAAAUUUUUUGCAUAAAUUAUGUUCUUUAUUUAUUUGACUUAUUUUUUUUAUUUUUUCCUAAUAUAUUUUGUUUAAUAUAUUAUUAAAAUCAUCAGGUUUUUCGAUUAAAUAAUGGUCAAUAAAAAGAUCGAAUCUAUUUUUUUAAAAAAAAGGUGUCAGAAAGCAAUAGUGAUCAACCAGUUCCUUAACCUUCUGUUAUUCGUGAAGAAAAACCAAAUAUUGGAUAUUCCCAAGCUCCUGAAUGAAAUAUUAGGUCUUAUCAAGCCCAAACUUUUGAAUGCGAUAUGGAGUCUUCCCCAGUUCUUAAACUAGAUUGUUACACUCCUUACCUGAUCCGAUCACCAAAUCCAUGUAGAGAGUACCACAACUUAAACCAUAUGAAUUGAAUAAUAAAUAUUUGAAAUUUAUUAAAGUAUCGAGUUCUUGGUGUAACCCUCAGUAUAAUAAUAUGAAACAAUCAAAUCAAUGAUACGCCAGGAACAAACAUUUUUAGGAAAAACACAUGGCGGAAACCUUACAAAAGUUUAUAAGUUUAUAUGAAAUGUAAGAUGAGUUAAUCCCAUACAAUAGUUUCAAGUGCAUUUUUGGCAGUUAAAACAACACUCUAAAACUAUUUGGUGUAGAUGCCAAUGAGACAAUCAUGUGGAAUAAGAUAUAGUAGCAUAAACACAUACAUCACUUACCAUGUCAUUAUAACAUAUACUAACCACAUAAACAAAUUUCUCGAGCUGCGAACGAACAAGUUUACCCAAACAUCUGGGGUUGGUAGAUAGCUUAUCAGAAAAGCCCUCCAAAUCCUAGAGUUCACCAAAACCUGGAGUUCGCCAAAUAGAGAUUCCCAUAGAAUACGCCAAACACACAACCAAAAAACAAAUACUCUACUAACUUACUUAUUUUUUAUUCUUAGCAUAAACAACUAUGCGCCAAAAAGUAACUUGAUACAUUAUCCAUCAGGCGGGUUGUUACAAUUCUCCCUCACUUAGAAAAUUUUGUCCUCAAAAUUCUUAACGGUGAAUAACUGAGGAUAUUGUUCUUUUAUUGAACUCUCUCUUUCCCAAGUGGAUUCUUUUUUAUUGUGAUUUCUCCAUAAUACAUUAACAAAAGGAAUUCUUUUUCUUCUCAACUUUUUUACCUCCCUUGCUAAUGCGAACAGGUUCUUCUUCAUAGGAUAUGUUUGGCUCCUUUUCUAAUGCUUUGACUUGUACCACAUGAUCUGGUUUGGAUUGAUAUUUUCUUAACACGAACACAUUAAUCACAUUGUGUAUCUUUGAUAACUCUAGUGGCAACACCAAUCUGUAUGCCACUGGACCAACCAGUUCCAAAAUCUCAUAUGGUCCUACGAAAUGCAGACUUAAUUUCCCUUUUUAUUCUAACCUUAUGAUAUUCUUCCAAAGAGAAAACUUCAUAAAUACAUUGUCACCCACUUCGAAAGAGAUUUCUUUCCUUUUUAGAUCAACAUAAGCUUUCUGACGAUCUUAAGUUACUUUCAGAUGAUUUCAAAUAAUAGAGACUUUCUCUUCUGUUUCUUGUACUAAAUCAAAACCAACUAUUUUCCUUUCACUGAGUUCCAUCCAACAGGUGGGAGAUCUACGCUUUCUUCCAUACAAAGCUUCAAAUGGUGAUAUUUCUAGAUUGGCGUGAUGACUAUAAUUAUACACAAACUUUGGCAAAGAAAGAUAUCUUUCUCAAUUCAUUCUGAAAUCUAUAAUACAACUUCUGAGCAUGUCUUCCAAAACUUGAAUUACUCUUUCAAAUUGUUCACCUGAUUAGGGAUGAAAGGCAGUACUGAAUCAUAUCUUGGUUCCUAACGAUUCUUGUUGUUGUCUUCAAAAUCUUGAUGUAAACAUUAGGUCUCGAUCUAAAACUACGGAUGUUGGAAUCCCAUGAAGACAUACAACUUCAGAAACGCAGAGCUUAGCCAACUUUUCCAAUGAGUAAUUUGUGCGGGCAAACAAGAAAUAGACUGACUUAGUAAGUCGAUCUACAAUUGCGCAAACUGAAUUCUUCUUUGAAAGGCUGAAAGGGAGAGCCAAAACAAAAUCCAUGGUGAUGUUAUCCCACUUCCACUUAGGUAUCUCUAAAGGGUACAACUUGCCUAAGGGAACCUGAUGUUCUGUUUUAAUCCGCUGACAUGUCAAAGAAAUGGAGAUGUACUCUGUUAUUUCUUUCUUCAUUCCAGGUCACCAAUACAAACUUCUCAAAUUACGAUACAUUUUAUGUAAUGCUCUCAACCCGACUCGAUAUGUCGAGUUUGGAUCUCGGGUAUUACUAUACACAGUACUUAGUAAAAUAUCAAAAUAGCUGACAAAUACUCUUUACUAAAAACAUUUUCUUAUUAUUUUAACCGAAAGAGUAAAUAUUUAAUAACAAGGGUAAAUAUUAGAAAUAAAAUAAAUUAUUACAUCAGACUUGGUACAACUGAUUAUAGUAUAAAAUUUUGUUAAAGACAGACUCUUGGGGAAUAACCCUAAUCUAUGCCACUUUUCCACUAUAUACAUAAUAACCCACUUCAGCACUAUCUUGGCAUACUCCUAGCAUCGUCACUCCUAACGCAUUCUCUACCCAUACACCUAAAAACAACAACAUUAUAAGCUCAAGAGAACUUAGUGAAUUUUAUCCCAAAAAUACCUUGGCGAGUACUUUAAUUAUUUGACUAACAUCUGUGCGCCAUCUAUCUUUUUAAACCACCUUCUUCUGAAUCAGACGGAUACUAUUACAGAUUCGACUUUCACUUAUACGCCAGCUAUCAUACUCUUAACACACUCACUUAUUCUAGAACAGUUUUUCACAUAUAUUAAUCAUUGACAGAUACAUACAUUUUUGGUGAAUACUUACGCAGAUCUAAAUACCAUCAAACUACUAAUCAAAUCAUACAUUGAUUCGAUACCAUACAAACUCCCAUUGAUAAUGUACUACACAAUUUAUUCAAAUGAAUUUUCCACUACUUUGUUACAGGACCCCAGAAAAUCAUCAUAACAAUAACUCAAUUUCCAUAUGAUUUCAAAAAAGGAUAUAAUACAACCCAAAUAUGGCGAAUUCCAGACAACUCAGAUUCAACAACUGUAUAACAUAGACAAAAUCACAUUGAUAAUUUCUUAUGUCCCAAAUAACUAUGAAUACGUCCAUAUUCAAUACUAACAGAUAAUCAUGACGGAUACCCUUCUUAUACAUAUAUGCAUUUCUUUUCUAAAAAUCUCUUAAGACUUACUCAGUUAUAUCACAGAUCUUAUUCAACCUUUAACUUCAGACGUAUCAUAAACCUAUCAGAUCAAUAUCUGUCACAAAGAAAUUGGCAUUUACCCAGAUUUUACAAUAAAGGCAGAUAAUCAUAUUAUAGUAGACAAACUUAACUGAAAGUGCUACAAAGGCCAAACAAAAUAUGCCAUAAAGGCUUCAUACAAAAUCAUGUGUUUACUAUCUCGACGGAUGAUACAUGAUAUUCGUGACAGGUUUUAAAAAUUUAUAAUUAAUCGUUCUUUAAAUUAACUAUUAUCACGAUGAAGGCAAGUGUACCUCUCGAACAGUAAUAUAGCUUUAGCAAGACCGGAUGGUCGAACCCAAAGGAACCAAGAGUACUAGUAAUUGCUUUCUUUUUAUUAUCUAGCCUAAAAAUUAAGGGAUUUAUUUAUCUAAUUAAUUAACUAAACUAAGGGUGCACAGAAAGAAAAUUGGGGAAAAGCUUUUGGGAAAACUCGAUUGAUUAAGACAAUACCCAAGAAAAAAUCCACCUAGACUUCACUUAUUAUUUGACUCUAAAUCAGACGAUUUAUUCAUUUGACUUGAUCCGUAGAAAUCCCUAAGUUAUAUUAUUAUCUCUCUUGAGACUAAUAACGUCUAACCCUAGGCUGAUAAUUGAAAUCUCUUUCUAAUUAACACUCUAGUGUUGCAUUAACUCGAUCUAUGGACUCCCUUAUUAGGUUUCACCCUAAUCCAGUAAAAUCUUGUCACCCUAUCUCUAGGCGUGCAAUCAACUCCGCUUAAUUAUGAAAAAUUUACUCUUAGAUAAGGACUUUUGCUCCUCUAAAUAAGCACAUUAACUUGAAUCAAUAUCUUGGAAUACUAAAACAAGAAUUAAGAACACAUAAUUAAGAACAAGUCAAAUAUUUAUCAUACAAUUCAGAAAAUAAUAACAAGAUCCGUCUUAGGUUUCAUUCCCCUUAGGUAUUUUGAGGUUUUAGUUCAUAAUUAUGAAAGAAAACAUCUCAAAAGAAUAAUGAUAACAAAACAUAAAGAAAACCCAAAACUCCUGAAGGAAAUUGAAGGGAGAUCCUCAGUCUUGACGAUGAAUCCGGCUUUUGAAAUGGAUCAAUCGGCUUUCCUUGAGUAAUUCAUUGCCUCCUACUCCCUAUGUAUCUUCUAAGUGCCUCCUCAGGUGUUUAAAUAGGCUUUAUAAUGUCUAAAAGCCCUCAAGAGUGGCCUUUUCUGAAUAGGACUGAACUUGGGCUCGAUAGGGACACGCCCGUGUGACACGCUCGUGUGCAAUUGCUUCAGACCGUAGUCAAGGCUACUAAAUAGGCAUGGGCGUGUGGUCUACCCGUGUGAGGAAGUCCAGGCCGUGUUGAUUUCUGAUGUUGGUCCAUUUUCUUCAUUUUCAGCCCGUUUCUCGCUCUUUUUACUCUCUUAUGCUCACCAAAGUAUAAAACAUGAAAUUAAAGGAUUAGGAGCAUCGAAUUCACCAAAUCUAAGGAGAAUUCAUCCAAAAAUAUGCUAAGCAUGAGGUAAAAAUAUGUAUAAAUUAUGGUUUAUUAAAUACCCCCACACUUAAGCGUUUGCUUGUCCUCUAGCAAAAUCCUCAACUCAAAAUCAAAAUAAAUUCUUCUUAACUUGUAACCCCUAUCAAUAAUAUCUCAAAAUAAACCAUAAGUAAUCAUGUAUUGAGAAUUCAACUAGAAAAGCAUUAAAGUCUCAAACAUUCCAAGUCGAGCAUUUUAUCACGAAAACAUAGGUGUUUCCCCUCAUCUAAGUGAUUACCUUUGAUUCAAAAUAUCACAAAGUUUUAACAUCCUCACUAAAGAUUCACUCAAAUCACUCGAGGUGUUUAAGGAUAAUAAAUGAAGCACUCAUUAGUCAAUAUGAAAAGUUAUUACCAAAGGCUUGUAUGAAAGUCAAAUCUCCACCACUAUAAAUUGAGAUGAUACAUCAAUCAAAAGGUCUUUAGAGGGUUGUAAAGUGGCUUUUGUUAGGGGGUGUAGUCACAAGCUGAAAGAAAGGUUAGAAUCAAGAUUGAAUUGAAAAAUUACCUAACUAGAAAAAUAACUAGUCAUUACUUGAAUACAUGUAAACUUCUUCUCAAAAUAUGAAAUUGAACACUUAAGCUCGAAAACAACGAAUUACUACUAAUAUAUGUAUGUAUUAUAAUUUUUUUUAAGAACAAGUCAAAUAAUAUAGGUUAAUUAUCAAAAAUAAAACAUAGCUAAGUAAUUUAUUCAAAUUAAAUCUCGACAAAAAUUGGGAUCAACUUGAUUGAGGGGAUUUCAACAGUAAUAGGUUAUAGGUUAAUAUUGAGGGUAAAUCAAUGGAUAGUUUGUUAGGCUCAAAGGGGUUCACUAAGGACAAAUUAUGAAGGUAGGCUUUUGUGGAGUGAGUGGGUUAAACCUAAGUGCCUUUAUCAUCUCGACAUAUUAAAUCAAAUGGUGUGGUCUUGACAUGCAUAAUCAAGCAAGUUCUAGAAUAACAAAUCAAUACUGACGCACUCAUAAUAAAAGUGAGCAUGAAAGAAAUAAAAUAUGAUCUAAAAGCUUAAAAUCUCACAAAAAAUUAUGGCUUUUUGAUGUUGAACCUGUGAAUUUCAACUCAAGAUAAUACCUAAACUUGGGGAAACAACCUAAAAAUUUUAAAUACUCAAAAAUCAACUUAUCAUGUCUGAUUUUCUAAUUCCUUCAAAGUUUAAACGGUCAAUGCAUAAAUACCUAUGUUUUAAUUCAAGACAUAUCAAUAAAAAUCAUAAAUUAAUCAAAAUUCAUUCUAAUAAUGAUAUGAGAAGAUUAUUUGAGAACAAGACAAAAUUUAAGGAUUUUUUUGAUAAUGAUAUAAAGGCCCCCCACACUUAAGAUGUACAUUGCCCUCAAUGUACAAAGUUAGAUUUACAACGAUAUAGAUAUAAGAUCAUAAGAUAGGGAGAGAAGUGAAACUUCCUGAAUAAUGAAUGAACUCCUUGAAUUGGAGUUAUGGAGAAUAAUCGGCAAAGGCAAUGAUAAGAUUGGAGGAGGAUACUUCGGUGGUGGUAGAGGUUGGGUUCCACAACCUCAGUGUCCAGCGAAGAAGUUAUCGUGGUGGUCGAGCAAGACAUUACAGUUAUGGAGAACCUUUUCCAGUGGAGUUUCAAGUUUCUAAGUGAUGGUGAGCUUUGGGGCUCUUAGUAACUGUGAUAAAAUCAAGAACUCUUUAAGAAAUGUAAGGAAGCAUAAUUACACGUAAUGAAAUAGCUGAAACUAUAAAUUAUUCAAUAAAAAUUAUAAAACCUAAAAAUGAAAUAAUAUUAAAGGAAAAUAAAAUAAAAAGUACUUAAAAAUGUAAAUAAAAAUAAAAUAUAAAAAGUUUUUAAACAUCGUCAUCGCUGGAUGGUUCGCAAGGUGGUGGUGGUGAUGAGAUGUGAAGGUGCUGACAAAUCUGAUGUAGAGUAGCAUCAAUGUUAUCAAAGCGCUGAAAACACUAUUGCUCAAAUCAAUAAGGCACUCAGAGAUGUCAGAGUAUGAAAUCGCCGCAUGAACUGGACGAUAGAUGGGUUGUGGCUGAAAUGGUGGGUCCUCAUGACGUGGAGGGACAUCAUUAGUAAUUCCUCCGGGUCCUCCUCCUCGGCUGACUGGAUGAGGCGGUACUGAGCAGAAUCGAUUCCAUGUCAUUUCUCGAUCAUCCUCAUAUGUAGCAUGCUUGAAAUACCCUGUGGGGACAUCUGGCCGAUGAGAGUGAGCGAGAAUGAUUGUGCCACUGUGUUAAAGAGUCCAAAGUGCCGAAUCAAUCGAGUCACAUAGGGGCCAAUAGAGAUGACUCCCUUCCUAUGCCGUUCCGUCUGAUGGCGAAUGGCGAAGGCAAUGAAAUAGGCGAGGUCGAAGAUGUGCCCAUUCGCCAUGCUCCAUAAAAAGUAGGCAUCGUGAGUGUUGACAAUGCCGGUGCUCUCUUGUCUUCCUGUCAGAGUGUGGGCCAAGAGGGCGUGUAGGUACCUCAAGGAUGGAGGGAGAGUUGAUGUUUUGGAACGGUUAGGGUCGUAGGUGGCCGAGGGAGGGACGAGGGCCUCCAGCACUUCGAGUGAGAGUAAUGGAUGUGGCGAUGAAGGAUGUCGAGUUCGUUGUAGUCCAUGAACUCCUCCGUAUACAGCCCUAGUACAAUUUUGAACUCCGGUACGCUCAAUUGGCACACUAAACCACCAAGACGAAACUGGACCGUUGUAGGAUCGUCGAACUCUGUCAUAACGGUUUGGAAGUGAAAGGUCGAAUAGAGUUCCAGUGUGAGCUUAAGGUAUAUCGGCUUGAUGAUCCCAAAGAAGAGCUCCCAUGGAUCAGUCGACAGAAGGGCUCUGACCGCGUCAACCAGUUGGACUUGUUCAAGUGCGGCCCAUUCAAUGCAGCGGCCCACACCUAAGGGUCAGGCCCGAAGUAUCUAAAAGAGUUCUUCCUAAGGUCCUAAGGGAAACUAAAUAAAGGGGUGCCUGAUCUCCACGGUAGGACCCAAGGAUGACACUGCUCAUUUCCUUUUCUUUGAAGCGGGGACAGCGAUUUUCUUACCAUGGUUUGACAUGAUAUCUGCAAUGGCAAGACGAAAAAAAUAAUAAAUAAAAAAGUAAACUUACUCUCCAACAAUAACAUGAAAAAACAUAUGCAAUGCAUGUUAAAACUAAUAGAGAUACUUUAUAGGAGUCAUGUACUAAAGAACAACUACGCUGAAAAAUAACCCAAUCAGAUAUAUUAAGUCAUUACUACGAAUAGGAAUAUGAUAAUAAUGCCUAGUGAAUGAAUGCAUAUGGAAAUGAUGAUAUGGAAAAUAGAAUGAAGUCCAUGGCAACACAAGAAUGGUGGUAUCAUAAUGCAUCAACUAAGAUAGCAAGAAACAAAGAGCAUAAGCAAGGCUAUUAUUAGAACUAUGAAGAUUAACAGUCAAAAUAAAACAAGAAAAAUCGAAUUCAUAAACGAAAUGAAGAGAAAAGAAUGGACAAACGCAAAAGCUUGGUAGAGGGAGGAGCUUGGGCCGUCGUUAGUGGUGUUGUGGUUGGCGCACGGGCGUGGCAGGAAGGCGUGGGCAAGAGUUACGGCGGCUACAGUUAGGGAUUUUGGGGAAGGGGAUGAUGAAUAUAAGGGGUUUAUUCAACUCGUGUUUAUCGCGAUUUUUAAAUUUGGGCACGUCUGAAAUUCGUCCCACGCCGAUGUCCUUUGGGCGUGUUGGUGCACAUGGCCGUGUCGUACGGUCGUGUCCUACUUCGUUCACUUCUCCCACGCUCGUGUGUAUAAGCACACGCCCGUGUUGUUUGAUCAGUCUUGAGCACGGUUGGUGGGCACGGGCGUGUCGCACACUUGUGCUAAAUUCUCAGUUUCAACCACGAUUUCAAGACACGGGCGUGUCACACGCCCGUGUUGAUUUGAAAGACUCACCCACGGCCACGUUACACAGCCGUGGCAACUUAUCACAUCUCGUGUUAAGCAAAAAUUUUUCCCUGUUUCCACACGGUCGUGUCGCAAGGCCGUGUCUCCUCCCGUAGUGUGAGCACGGCCUAAGGCACACCUGUGUGCCUCACCGUGUGAAUUAGAAAACCAGUAUUUCAAUGACUCAGUUAGUGAUUAGAUGUUAAAAACUAAAAUUUUAAAGAAGGUAACACUAUUAGUGCUCGGGUUACCUCGCGAAAAGCAUUUAUUUAUAGUCUAAGCUCGACUUACCUCUCUGUUGCAUAGUCAUGGUAGUGCAAGGAGUUUACACUCCUCAUCCCUGCUAUCAAUUUUAUCAAAAUAAGGUUUUAGACAAGUACUAUUUACCUUAAACGUACCGAAUUUGGGAUGAAUUACCUCGACUGUGCCGUAUGGGAAAAUACUAAGUACCGUAAGAGGGAUUUCUCCAUUAGGUUCAAAGGUGGCAAUCCGAAGGUCUGCUGCAUCUAAUAGUACUUUGUUUCCAACCUUAAGUUGAGUUGGAGAAAUAUUGAGCUCGUCAUGGCAUGGUUUUUUUUAUCGUGUGAUUUCGAUUUCUGUGUCUGCCAUUCAUCUAGUUCCUCAACCUGUAGCCUUGUUCUUCAUAGAUGGGUUCUUUGUCGUUAUUUGAAUGUGGCUCAAGUGUGUUUCUCGAAUGUGUUUCCUGCACAGAGGGUUUCACCACAUGAUCAGUACUGAUAGAAUUUCGAGCUUGAGGAGUAAUUGAUUCAUCACCCAUACGAAGUGUGAGUUUACUUGUGCCAACAUCAAUUAUAGUUUUAGCAGUUGCUAGAAAGGACCGUCUUAAAAUUAAAGGUGCGUCGCUAUCCUCUUCUAUGUCUAGAACAACAAAAUCAAUUGGGAAAAUAAAUUUAUCGAUUUUUACCAAUACAUCUUCAAUGAUACCCCUGGGAAAUCUAAUAGUUUUAUCAGCUAACUGAAUACUCAUCCUAGUUUGUUUAGGUUUCCCAAUACCUAGUUGUUUAAACAUUUUAUAAGGCAUGAAAUUGAUACUAGCCCCUAAAUCAGCCAAAGCGUUAUUAACAUCUAAGCUACCAAUUAAAUAAGGAAUCGUAAAACUCCUUGGAUCUUUCAAUUUGUUGGCCAUGAUGUCUCGUUGAGAGCACCAAAAAUAUCCUAUUCUCUGUAAAAUAGUAAAAAUAACAGUAAAAGGGAAGUAGGGUCGAAUCCUCAGGGACCGGAUUGUACAAAUGCUCGUUUCUUGAAAUCCUGGACAAUUUCUUGGCCAAGAAAACCUGCGUUCCUGAAAAAUAAAAAAAAUAAAAUUAAGAAUCUGGAAAAAAAAAUAGAAUUUAAAGGGAAUUGAAAUUGCGAAAUUAAAUAAAUUGUCGAAAUUAAAAUGAGGAAAAAUAAAUAGAGUUGGGAAAAGAGAAAGUUUCUUAUGUGGCGAGAUUCCAGGCUCCGGUUGUCUCGUUCCGCCUUGGGUUCAAUCCUUGGCCUUUAAGUAACCCUUCCCAACUCAAGUAAGCCAGUUAUAGUGGAAGAGGAUGCCUACGACCACCAGCUCCAAAGAUUAGACUUACGAUUUUUAGGGAACCUGACUCUAACCAGUAAUCUAUGCUAGAUCAACGCUUCUCAAUGGCGAAUCCCAAGUCAUUUUGUCUCUUUGGCUCGCCAACCUUUGACGCAGUAAAUUAACAAACCGACUGUGCAAUCCUUUCAAAACAUACAAAGCGGUCGCCUUUGCAUAUGCUGAAAAGCUUACUUCUUAAGGGCCAUGGACGGAAGCGUCAGCCCGUAGUGCGGAGAAACGAUGAAUACUUGGCGAGAAGGCUAAGUACGGGUUCUAGGCCUCAAAAACCCUUUUUUGGGGAAUAUUGACAACCUUCAGCUAGAUAGGUUUUAAUGGCUCAUGAUAAUGGUGGAAAAGGAAAUAAAUAUAAAAAUAGAAAAUAAAAUUUUAUUCAAAGAAAAUAUGAAGAAACAAAAGCCUAGACUUUUAGGGGGAGAGUGUUUAUAGAAAAAGAUGAACACCCCAAAUAGAGUCACUUCACCCCCUAUUUAUAGUGCUAGGGAGAUAAUCUAAUUUAACUUAAAUUCUAAAAAGAUAAAUACAUUUAAUUAAAGAUAAUUAAAAUAAAAUCCUAAAAUUAAAUAAUCCUAAUAAUUAUCUUAAUAAUAAUUAUUCUAAUAUAAAUAAAAUGGAGUCUUAUAAAAUAAAAUCUCUUCUUUUUGAGUUUUCAGUCCUUGUGUCAUCCAUGCUCGCACUUUUGGAACAAUCUUUUUCCUGUGUCGCAUAUCAGCCCAUUGUGUCUCCAAAUUCGCACUUUUGUCCCUUAAUUUUUCUUUUUGCCUCCAAAUCAGUCCUUUAAAGAUAAAAAGACAUAAAUAGCUAAAAUUAGUAUGAUCAAGCUCAGAAUAAAUAUAUAAUUAGCACAUAAAAACAUGACAUUCUAGAGUGUUAUCAGGCCAGCUUAUUUUGCAGAAUGGCUGAGCAAACUGCAUUCAUCUCCACAUGCGAUGCCUCAUCUAACUUCCGUUUAUUCGCUAAAAGCUCCUUUAAAAAUUUGACUGUGUUCAGCAUCUACGAAAAAGCUUCAAUAAACGGUAAGUUAAUAUGUAAUUUCUUUAAAAUUUUAAGGAAUUUACCGAAUUGUUCGUCUGAGUGGUCUUUCCUUGUCGUAUUUGGGUAUAGUACACGUGGUUUGUACUCUUUACUUACCUGUUUUUGCUCAUUAUGGUCCACCUUACCUCUACCUUUACUUACCACAAUUUCUUGCCUUAGUUCUGGUUGAGGUGCAACUAACCCUUCCUCAUCUUGAAUGGUAAUCGCAUUGAGCUAUUCCCUUGGAUUAGAUUUAGUGUUACUCAACAGGCUACCUUGUGGUCGUUCAGAUACCAAUUUAGCAAGCUGGCUUAUCUGAGUUUUGAGCCCUUGAAUCGACACUUGUUGAUUCUUAAGUGCUUUCUUGGUAUUCUAAAAACAAGUUUCUAACACUGAGAUGAAUUUUGUUAGCAUCUCCUCAAGGUUCAGCUUUUUCUCUUGUUGGUAAGGUGGUUGUUGGAAGCCUGGAGGUGGUGGGGGUCUCUGAUUUCCUUGGCCUCCCCAUGAAAAAUUUGGAUGGUUCCUCCAACCUGCAUUUUAAGUGUUACUAUAAGGAUUAUUUUAAGAUCGAGGAUUAUUACCCAUGUAAUUCAACUGCUCAUUUUCCAUACUGUGGCCAUAAGGUGGGUAUUCUGAAUUGCUUGAUCCACCUCUACUUGCUUCGCACUGCAUUACUAGGUGAACCUGUGAAUAACCAAAUAACCCGUCAAUUUUCUUAUUUAAUAGUUCUACCUGACUAGAGAGCAUCAUGACUAAAUCAACGUUAAAAACGUCAGUUGUUUUAGUCGGCUUUGUCCUCAUUACUUGCCACUGAUAAUUAUUCAGUGAGAUCUCUUCUAUAAAUUCAUAAGCAUCUUCAGAUGUCCUAUUAUUGAUAGUCCCACCAGCGGAUGCAUCGAUAAGUUGCCUUGUUGAGGGGUUUACACCGUUGUAAAACGUCUGAACUUGCUGCCAUAGAGGCAACCCAUGAUGAGGGCACCUUCUCAACAGAUCUUUGUAUCUCUCCCAUGCAUCAUAAAGCGUUUUUAGAUUCAUCUGCAUAAAAGAAGAGAUAUCACUACGUAAUUUAGUCAUUUUAGCCGACGGAAAAUAUUUUAAUAAGAAUUUUUUAUUGUCAUUUGUUCCCAAGUAGUGAUUGACACUCGUGGUAACGAGUUCAACCACUGUUUAGAUUUGUUCCUCAAUGAAAAGGGAAAUAACCGAAGACGAAUGGAAUCAUCAGAAAUGCCAUUAAUUUUAAAUGUGUCGCAAAACUCUAGAAAAUUUGCCAAGUGAUUGUUCCUCAUCCUGCAAACUAUCAAACUAAACAAAUUGUUGUAUCAUUUGAAUUGUGUUAGGUUUUAGUUCAAAAUUAUUUGCAGCAACAGCUGGCCUAACUAUACUUGACUCAGUUCCUCUUAAAGUAGGUUUAGCAUAAUCAUACAUAGUACGCGGAGUAGGAUUCUGAUUAGCAGCAAUCGCAAGAGGUAGCGGAUUUUCCUGAUUUUCAGUCAUCUCCUCAGUUGUGGUGGAAAUAUCGUCCUCUUGCUCUUUCUCUGUGUAUCUUAGGCUUUGCCUUAUUUCUCUUCGAUUUCUGUGAGCUGUGCGAUCGAUCUCACUAUCAAAAAGUAAUGGUCCUGACGGGUUUCUUCUAGUCAUGCACUAUAAAAACUUGCCAUAAGCGAAUAAACGAAAAAUAAGAAUAAGAAAAUAAAAUAAAAAUUCAAAUUGCAACAAAAGUAAAAUGGCUAAAGUAAUAAAAAUUGAGUGUUCCUAAUAUCUUCGUUCCCCGGCAACAGCGCCAAAAACUUGAUACGUGAUAUUCGCGACAGGUUUUAAAAAUUUAUAAUUAAUCAUUCUUGAAACUAACUAUUAUCACGAUGAAGCCAAAUGUACCUAUCGAACAGCAAUAUAGCUUUAGCAAGACCGGAUUGUCAAACCUAAAGGAACCAAGAGUAUUAGUAAUUGCUUUCUUUUUAUUAUCUAGCCUAAAAAUUAAGGGAUUUGUUUAUCUAACUAAUUAACUAAACUAAGGGUGCACAGAAAGAAAAUUGGGGAAAAGCUUUUGGGAAAACUCAAUUGAUUAAGACAAUACCCAAGGAAAAAUCCACCUAGACUUCACUUGUUAUUUGACUCUGAAUCAGACGAUUUAUUCAUUUGACUUGAUCCGUAGAAAUCCCUAAGUUAUAUUAUUAUCUCUCUCGAGACUGAUAACGUCUAACCCUAGGUUGAUUAAUUGAAAUCUCUUUCUAAUUAACACCCUAGUGUUGCAUUAACUCGAUCUAUGGACUCCCUUAUUAGGUUUCACCCUAAUCCGGCAAAAUCUUGUCACCCUAUCUCUAAGCGUGCAAUCAACUCCGCUUAAUUAUGAAAAAUUUACUCUUAGACAGGGACUUUUGCUCCUCUGAAUAAGGGCAUUAACUUGAAUCAAUAUCUUGGAAGAUUAAACCAAGAAUUAAGAACACAUAAUUAAGAAUAAGUCAAAUAUUUAUCAUACAAUUCAGAUAAUAAUAACAAGAUCCGUCUUAGGUUUCAUUCCCCUUAGGUAUUUAGGGGUUUUAGUUCAUAAUUAUGAAAGAAAACAUCUCAAAAGAAAAAUGAUAACAAAAUAUAAAGAAAACCCAAAACUCCUGAAGGAAAUUGAAGGAGAUCCUCAGUCUUGACGAAUAAUCCAGAUUUUGAGAUGGAUCAAUUGGCUUUGCUUGAGUAAUUCAUUGCCUCCUACUCCCUGUGUGUCUUCUAAGUGCCUCCCCAGGUGUUUAAAUAGGCUUUAGAAUGCCUAAAAGCCCUCAAGAGUGGCCUUUUUCGAAUAAUACUGAACUUGGGCUCGACAGGGACACGCUUGUGUGACACGCCCGUGUGCGAUUGCUUCAGACCAUGGUCAAGGCUGUUAAAUAGGCACGGGCGUAUGGUCUAUCUGUGUGAGGAAGUCCAGGCCUUGUUAAUUUCCCAUGUUGGUCUAUUUUCUUCGUUUUCGGCCCAUUUCUUAUGCUCACCUAAGUAUAAAACAUGAAAUUAAAGGAUUAGGAGUAUCGAAUUCACCAAAUCUAAUGAUAAUUCAUCCAAAAAUAUGCUAAGCAUGAGGUAAGAAUAUGUAUAAAUUAUGGUUUAUCAAUGGACUAUCACAGAAGGUGUCAUAGGUUUCUCCAACAUGGGCUUAUACAUAAUUUCAUGUAUUGUGAUCUGCCAUUUCAAAUUAUACAUUAUCGAAGGCUACACCAUAAGCAUAUAUACAGACAUAUCUUGCAAUGGGUCUUAGCCAUAUAGCUUACACACACAUUCAUGUAUUGUAAUCUGCCAAUCCAAUCUUCAUCUUAUUAGAGGCUACACCAUGAGUGUUUCCAAAUCAAAGUAAGAUGUCAUGGGUCUCAACCUUAUAGUUUAUUCUUGUUUUCGUAUCGUGAUCUGCCAGUCUAGUUAGCAAUAUAACUGCCCUACCAGAGGCAUCAUAGAGGAAAAUUUGCUCAGCAUUUACUUCCCUAGAUGAUCACCUUUUUACUAGCUCAUACAUCUCCUACAUCAGACCUUACCUGCAUGCUUACCAAACAUUAUUCUUUUUAAUAGAAUUUAUACAUAUCAUCGUAGCACAUCUUUCAUCUUUGCUAAACUCAUAUUUAUACUAAUUUCUGUAGACAUCAUCAUCACAUAUAUAUAUGCUUCUUGUUUGAACAGUUCAUAUCAAAAAGUCAGGAUAGAGACCCACUUAACUCUCAUCUAUUGCAGUUCAAAGUUCUGGACUCAACCACCCUUCUCAAACCAACAGUAAAAACUGCUUACAAAACAUAGAAUCACCAUUAAAACUCAUUUACAUACAAAUUACCAUCAUCUUAAUCACUUUUCCGCUGCUAAUUAAUAAAUAAAUGUUGAGUAGUAAAUAAAUAAAAAAUUAACUAAGUUUUCAAAAAAAAAAAGUCACUGUGAUGAGAAGAAUAAGUUUUCAAAAACAAAAGUCACCGUGAUGAGAAGAAUGUCAAAAUUAAUUGGUUUUUGUUAACUCAUAUGUUUUUCUAAAAAUAGGUUAAGUUUUCUUCUGAAAUAAACAAAUAUUUUGAAAUGAUUGUUUUAUAAACUCCAAUCAUAGGCCAUCUUAGUGGUCGAUGUAAUCUCCCAAAUUCGGUUCUAACAUCUAGGUUGGGUUGGAGAGGUUACAAUAUAUAUAGAAGGAUUCAUCAAUAAUGGAAACUUGAAUACAAGCAAAGAAAGAAAUCAAUCAAUGUGAAUUACUAACAAGUUCAAAAGCAUAUAUUUGGAUUAUAUUUUGUAAAGUACAAGAAUGUCAAGGAAUUAGACAUUUUGUUUUGAUAGUGAUUAUAUUUUAUAUAUAUUUACUUUUAUGCACUUUCAUAUUGAGUUGAUCAACAGUUUUGAAACUUUAUAGAAAACUUCAAGGUAUCACUUGUUGCGUAAGUGAUAUUUUACUAAGGGUGCAUAAUUGGAGGCCUCCUAGAUAUGUGAAAAUAAUGUUUAAAAAUCCAUCAAAUAGUAAAAACAUAAAUGAAAUAGCAUAUUGAUAUAUAUGGUAUCUUGAGUGUUGAAUUAAACAUUCUUUAGUAAAAGAAUGUACAUUUUGCACAUUGUGGGUGUGUUGGUUUCUUAUAUAUCAAUUAAGCACAAAUUAAAGAAAAAUAAUAUAUAUCACCAUAGUGUUGUAAUAUUUUGUAAAAUUUGUAAAAUUAUAUAAGCAAAAAAGUUUACCUAUCUCGUUAAAUAAAACUCAUUGAGUUGGUUCUUAAUAUUGAAGAAUUAGAGUGGUUGACUUCUUUAUUCAUUUUAUCCAACUACAAGUUGGAUUAAAGUUGUGGAAAUAGAAUGGUUGAAAAUUUGUGUUAAUGAGAAUUAAAGUUGUGGCCACAACUGAUGCCGACUAUUUUCUAGAAACAGGGACUGAUGUCCAAAACAUGUAGUAAAAUAAAAUUUUAGACAUGUUAGCAUAUGAAUUUAUUAUAUUAUAGAUUCAAUGUAACACCCCUAUCCUAUCUCUGUUGCUGGAUUAGGAUUUCAGACUAUUACUAAGAAAAAUAGAACAUUUAACUUUCCAACAGAAACAAUUAUACAAUUAAAUACCAACAUAUAUCAAUUAAAUCUAAUCAUGGCAAAUAUUACACUUAUAGACCUUGAAUCGAGCCUAUGGAGCCCUAGAAAAAAUUUAGGAACAAUUUGGGAUCAAAUCGAAACAAAUCAAAACAUUUUGAAAAAAAUAUAAAAAUUUGGGAAAACAGGGGUCACACGGUUGUAUGGCCAAGUCGUGUGACAAAGCCUACACCGCGUAAACAUUAGAAGUCAAAACACUCAACUGUGUCCCAGCCUGUGUGUCUACUCAUGUGUAUAAUCGAAAUAGGGUCACACAGCUGUGCUGCAGACUGUAAACCGUGUGUGUAUUCGAAGUUAGGUCACACGACCAUGUGACCGACCGUGCCACAAACUGUUUUGAGACACACGGUCGUGUCACAGACCAUGUGAAAUAUGCACCUAAAAUAAUAAAUAUACACGACCAUGUGUGGUGACUAUGUGUGGCACAUGGUCGUGUGGUAGCUUGUGUCUCAGGCUGUGUGCUCCAUUUUUAACCCCUAAAUUAAGUUAAUCAAGCAUCAUUUCUUGCACAGCAAGACAUACCAUAUCUAACUAAUUUUACAUGGUAAAAAUCACAUUCAGAUCACCAAAUACAUACCAAAAUUUCAUUCAUCCUAUGUCUAACCAAUAUACCAUCAAAAGGCAUCUCAAUCCAUACAUUCAUUCAACUCAAGAACAAAGUUACAAUAAAGGAACAAGUUUUAUCAUUAGUUAACCAUUCAUGCCUAAAACCACCAAUCUAAUUGACGAAAAUAUGGGCAUACUCAACAAGCAACCAUUUCAAAACAUCAUCACCAAAUCUUUAUAUACCAUUUAGGAUCAACUUAAUUAUAUCCAACACAAGUACACAUCCAAAACAAAGCACAUCACUAGAAAUACCAAAAUAACUUAACGAUUUACACAUCAACAAUAAGACACCACAUCCCAAAAUGAAAUACAAAAGCUACCGAGAUGGCUGGAUAGUGUGUGCUCCAAAACAAUUCGUCUAGUCAGUCCAUAAAACGCCAACUCAACCAAUAUAGAUAAACAAAAAAGAUAAGUUCUAAUUCUUGAUAUUCAAAUGCAAGAUCACACCACAUUAGUAUAUAUUUAUUUACAUCAUAAAUGAUACCUUCCAAAAGUCAUAACCAAUUCAUCAUCCAAAAUUUCUCAAUACAACCAUUAACAUUUAUAAAACAAAAACUUCAUAGAAACAUUUAUCAUUUAGUAGUAAUAUAACUAUCCAACAAAAUUGAACAAAUAAAUGAGUUUUAAGUCAUUUGAUGCAUAUCCCGCUGAACUAUAGUAACUAGACUCGGAUACUCAAUGAUGCAUAACAGAGGCACCAAAGUGCAAACAGAGGAAGGAAUAUGCAAUCAAAGGCAUUGAAGUGCAAACAAAUGCACCAAAGUGCAAACCCGUACAAGCGCACAUUAAAACCCUAUUGGCAUACUAAUCGUAUCCUAAUCAUUUACUAUGUUCAAUGGGGCAUUAAGAAUGGGGCAUUAUACUUAAAAUCGCAAUACCAAUAAAUCCAUCAUUUAGAGGCACUUCUUAUUUCCGUACACAUAAUAACAAUAAUUACCAUCAUCAAACAUUCAUUUUAUAUUUGUACUUAAUUACAAAUUUUAAUAAUAUAUAAGUAACUAAUGAAAUUUCCCAUAUAUACCAUUAACUAGAAAAAAAUAAUAUAAUCAUAAAGAGAUACACAUAUACAUAUUAUUACAUUAUGAACUUACCUGCAAUCCACUUCCAAAUAAUAUACAGGGACUACUCCGCAAUUUUUCUCUUUCCUCGAUUAUUGUCUUUUUGACUCGGUUCUUGAUCUAUAUAAUAAUUAAAUUUAAUUUAUUAAAUUUACAUAAUUUAAAAAUCAAUUCAAUGCAUGACACCCUUAUGUUUUCAUUAUUUUCACAUUUUCCUUAAACUUUUACAUUUCUCACAAUUUAGUCCCUAAACCCGAAAUUCCAAAAUUUAACAAAAUUUUACAAUUUUCCAUGCUAGCCGAACUUCUUUCUAAACUAGUACAAUCCCCAAUUAUUUACAAUUCACAAAAUUUCUAUGCAAAUUUUAAUUAUUUACACAUUGAUCAUUAAACUCAAAAUUAACACAAAUUCUUUUACAAAAAUAUCCUAAUCAACAUUCAAAUAUAUACAACUACCAUUAAAAAUCAUGAACACCAAAAUUCCAUUACUAACCAAUCCCUAAAACUUCAACAUUUUUAUAAUUUCAUCCUCAGGUUUAAUAGUUUAAGCUACAACGAGUUCAAAAAAUAUAAAAAUUAUUAAAUAUGUGAGAGAGAAACACUUACAUGCACCAAUUUGCUAACCGAAACUUUAAGCUCAAAAAAUGGAGUUUCUUUUUUUCUUUUUCUUUUUUGGUAGGAGAGAGUUGAGAAGAUGAUGAUACCAUAUUUUAUCUUUUGUUUCUUUUCUUUAAUUAAACUAAUUACCAAAUUAACCUUUUAAUCUGAACUAAAUUAUUAACAUAACAUGACCAUAAUUUUCCAUUAACUAACCAUAAGGUUUAUCUAUCAAUCAAGUCCAUUAUUUUAGUUUUUCUUUAAAAAUCAAGCACAUUUAACUAAUAAAAGCUACUUUAGCAUAUUUUACAAUUUAGUCUUUUUUACUAAAUUAACUAACUAGACAUUAAAAUUUCUUAUCCAAAUUUUAAUACGACUCAAAUAUAACUCUAUAAACAUAAAAUAAACAUAAAAUACUAACUCACUUGUUGGAAUUAUGGUCCUGAAAUAACCAUUUUCGAUACUACUGAAAAAUGGGAUAUUACAUUCAAUCUCUAAUUUAUGCUAAUGAAUGUGAGAGAAUAAUUUUCUUUGUAUAGUAAUACUACAACUAGAAUGUGUUUCGAUCCUAUUCUUAGAAACUGAUAGUAGAAACCCAACUUUUAAUUAGAAACCUCUUGUUUUAAAGUUCAAUGGGUAAAAGCAAGUUAUCGUUAUAUGUCUGUGAUACACUAGUAAAACUCAUUAUAGAAAAAAAAAGUUUAAUGGAAACUAGUGUUAUCCAUUGCGUAUAGAGGAUGAAUUUGAAUACUAUUAAUGAAGUUCAUUGUUUAUUGUUUAAAUGUCUAAAGCAAGGGAAACAUUAAAAGAACUCUACCUAUAUAAACAUAAGAAGUGAUGCCACUUCAACAAGUAAAGGUAGGGUCUCUCUUGUAAAUGUUUAUUAUGAACAAGAUAAGCACAUGAUCAUUUUAGUGCUAAAAGUGAACAACCUCUGAUAGAAAUAUAAAUGAAUAUUAUGUGUAGUGUAUUUCAACUUCUAAUACUAGGAGUUGUGGUUCAAUCUUCGGACACCAACGACUUAUUAGAACUUUGAAAAGCAUCCGCUAAUUGAUGGUUCAUAUUGAGAGAUAUCAUCUUAUAUGCAUAAUAUUUGUUGGAGUGAAUGGCUAUAAAGUAUGGUACCAACAUUUAAACUAAGGGUGAUUGUUAGUAGUUUAUAAUGUUGGCAGUAAAAAUAUUUUAUUAUGUAGAAAAGUCUAAUAACUUAUAAUUAUUGGCCAAAUAAUUGUGUUGUAAAGAGAAUUUUUGUAUGUAAAGUUGUCUUAUAAACUUUAUGUAAAGUUGUGUUGUAAAACAACACAAUUAUAUGAAAAGGUAUCUUAUUAAAAGAUAUAUUCAUAUUAAAGGGUAUCUCAUAAAAGAUACAUCUAUUGGAUGUCUAUAUAAAAGACUUUUCUAUUAGUCAUUUAAAUUGUUUUACUUGGAGUGUUGAGGCCUUUAUUGUAUCUUGAAGGUAUUUUAAAAUCUUAAAGAAAGUGCUCUACAUGCCUCAAAGUCGUUAUAUUUUAUAACAUUAUUUUAUUUUUCUAACUUCUAUUUUCCUAUUAUUUAUUUUUCUAACAGCCAGAAUAUAGAAAAAUUAUUAUGUUUCUAACUAUAUAUUAAAUACGAGUACUACUUGGAAGCCAGCACCCACAAACAUGAUAAAAGUUAAUUUUGAUGAGAGUUUUGACGUGGAAGCAAGAAAUGAGGAAGAGGGUAGUUAUGCAGCAUUGUGAUGGUUUUUUAGUCCGACUACGCAACCAUCCAAUUUAGGGUGCGUUCUACAUUAAGGUGAAAAAGCACUUAAAAAGAACAUUUGGUUUUUACACUUAAAAGUGUGAUGGAAAAAUACUUUUUCAUUCAAAUACAAAAAUUAAGAUAUAAAUGCUUUUGACUUUUAGCUUUUACAUUAGAAUGUGAAAAUUAUCAAAUACUAUUAUUUAUAUUAACUAUUUAAAGUGUAUAUAAAAAUUAGAUUAAUUUAUAUUUUAUAUAUCAUUAUAUUAAAUUAUUUAAAUAUUAUUUAUUAUUAUAUCUUUUAAUAAUUUAUAUAUCAUCUAUUUUACAAAUAAUUUAUAUUAAUUACUUCAAAAAUAUUUGGAACUUAUAUUUCAUGUACCAUUAUAUUAAAUUAUUUAAAUAUUACAUAACUUAAAAUGUCCUUUUCUUUAGACAUGAUAGACUUUUAACGGGAAUUUUUUGUAGUAACGGAGAACACCAAAAACUAAUGAGUACAUUUUUUCAUAGCACUUUUCUACCACUUUUCAACUACAACGGUAAUGGAGAACUAAUCCUUACUAAAGUUACCGAAGCACUAGCUUCCACUGUAGCCAUUGAAAUGGGGCUCCAAUUGGGAUUGCAACACAUUAUUAUUAAAAGAGAUGCUCUCUAAGUGGUUUCGAAGUUGAAGGAAGACAAAGAAGACCUACCAACAAUCGGACCUUGAUAGCAAAGAGUUGAAUACUUGCUAAACAGGUUCAGCAAUGUAGGUUUCAACAAAGAAAGAGGCAUGCUAAUGAGGUGGCACAUCAUCUGGCCAAACAGGGUGCAAUGCCCAAUUUCUGCCCGGGCCUAAUCAAAACAGCCCAAAGCAGAAAGCCCAAUUUUUCUAGACCUAGCCCACAACUAUUUUCAGCACCACCAUGCACCCAUUUUCUCCACCACUCUUCCACUCCAGAACACCCACGAACGGUUUCCCUCCAUGCCAUACAUACCUGCAAAAUAGAUUAAUGACUCAUAGCAGUUGACAGUAGAAAGAAAUAACAACAGGAAACGGUUUUGUACUUGGCUAUAAAGCCUUUGAAUUUUUCAUUGUUUGGUUUUUUUUUCUUUCUUUUUUUUUUCAGAGAGAUUGUACACGAAAUACAUACAAAAAUCAAUAGAAAGCAAUUCAAAGGUGAUUUAUCGCUAUUUAUUGUGUUUUUUUUUUCAAUUGGGUUUACAUACAAGUAUAAAAUAUAAGAGAGAACGAGAGGCUUACCGGAGUUAUAUCGCAUUCACGCCGUCGGUAGGACUAGCUCCGUUGGUCACGAACAGAUUUUGGGAGUGGUUGGGGGCUUGAAAGGAGCCUUUCGGCUGGAGAAUAAAGGGAGAGUGAGGGAGAUGAUAUAAUAUCCAAGGCAUUUAGGGUUUUUUUUUUUAAAUAAAAGUUAAAAAGUUUUCUUUUAAGCACAAUUUUUAAAGCGGGUUUUAGGUGAUAAGAAUGAAACAGCAUGGGGAAGGGAAAGGAAUAGCGUGUUUAACUUGGUCCACGUGCAUUUACCCCUUAAAUGGGUAAUUUUCGUUAUCAGUCCUCCUUACUUGCGUCACCCUUUAUUUGAUCCUAUUCUGUUUCUUUUAUUUUUGCCUUGAAUUUUGCGCACCGUUCCAAUUUAGUCCGAGCAUGAGUGUUGCUUUUUUGGGGUUGGGAACAUUUUCAAUUUUAGCCCUUAUACAUUCACGCGCAUUGCGCUUUGGUCCCUAUUUCAAUUUCAAUGGUUUUUUUAUUUGUUAAUUGUCCCUUUAAUUUUGCUUUUCUUCCAAUUAAGUUUUUAUUUAUUUUUUCCAUAAAAUAAGAAUAUAUUAUUUUAACAUAUAGUUUUGUUCAACAAAAUUCAUAUAUAUUUUUGUAUAUAUUAUUUUAACAAAAUAAGAAUAUAUUGUUUUCUUCAUAUGCAUAUUUAUUUGUUUUUUCUUCCAAAAUAAUUUCAUAUAUCAUUUUGUAUUUAUAUACUUUACUUAUAUUAAGUUUGCUUUAUAUCAUGUAUAUACGUAACUUAUACUAAGUUAUCUUUACUCUAAGUGUACAUUAUUGACUUCCUUUUAUUUUAUGUAAAUAUUUCCUUUUAUUUUAUUUUUUUAUGUAUAUUAUUGAUUUUAUGUUAUUUUAUGCUUGUUUAUUUUCUUCUAAGGACCCUAUUUUAAAUGGUAUAUUUUAUUUAUUUUCGUAUGCUAGUACCUUUGUUUUUUUUAUGUAUAAAUUUUCAUUUCAAGUAUUAUUUAUUUAGAUUGACAAAUACUAUGCUAUGUAUUACUUUUUUUAUAUAUAUACAUUAUGUGUCUUGAAAUAUCGUUUAUAUAUUAUUAUGUCGUACAUUAUUUUUAUUUUUAUUAUUUUUUGACCUAUUCCAGACUGUCAUAUAUGUUACCUUAAGAUUUUUAUACAUUUGUUUGAUUGCAUACUAACGAUUCCAAAUUGCAUUUCUUCUAUAUUAUCUAUAUUAUUUGUUAAAACUUGCCACAUACUUUUAUCUCAUGUACAAAACUAAGCUUGUACACAUGUUAUUGCAUCAUGAUCUUUAAAUUCCAACUCUUUGCCCAACAUCAAUCGUUUUUUAUCCCCAAGCAAACCAAACAAGUAUUUUUAAUUCGGUUUUUAUAACUGUUAAUUUAAAAAUUUCCCAAAACAAAGGCAAUGUUUGAUGUUUGAAAUUUUGGAAAUCGUGCCCUAACGUACUGGGUUUCGAUUUUUCGUUUAUCCAAAAUAAUCAAGUAUCCCCUUUAAAGUUUCGUAUGUGUUUUCUAAACUUCAAAACAAGGCAAUGUUCUAUGUUUUGGAAAUCCGAGAAAUCGUGCCCUAACGUGUUGGAUUUCAAUUUUUCGUUGGACCAAAUGAUCGAGUAUCCUUUUGAAAUUUCAAAUAUAUGAGCUUUUGGAAAUUAAGACUCGGUUGUGGUUUCGAGGGUUUAGAAAGUUAUGUCUUAACGUGCUGGAUGUGAUAUUUUAUUCCUUCAUAACAAAAGAAUUCUUAAUGACCAAUUUGAGUUAUUCAAAUAUUUUAAAAGAAAUAGUAUUUCAAAAUAUCUUUUAAAUUUUAGACAUAAGGACAUUGAUUAAUCAAUUAGGUACCAAUUUUGGGCGUCACGAGGGUGCUAGCCCUUCCUCGUGCGUAACCGACUCCCGAACCCUUUUUUCUCGACUUACGUAGACCUGAAAUUAUUGUUUUAAUAAAUCAAAAUGUUUUAUUAAAAUGAUCAAUUUCAAGGUGAUCCGAUCCCACCUCAGAAGGGAUCGGUGGCGACUCCAAACUUUGAUUUUUCAAAGUCGAUCCCCGUUUUUUUCAAACUUUUAGAAAAUGGUUUCGACACAAGGCCUUAAUUGUUUUCCAUCUUUUGUUCAUAUGUUUGUUUUGAAAAGGUAAAACAAAUCCUCACCUAUUGAUGUUAGAACGGUUGAAUUGCUAAAAGCAUGCUGCGUGCAUAACCAUGCUUUAGGUUAGGCUUCAAAUCAAAUAAAUUUUAAAUUAUUUUUAUUUGAAUUUAAUUAUAAAAAUAUAUUAAUAUCAAUAUAAAAUUAUAUACAAUUUUAAGAUAUUUUAUUUUUCAAUAAUAAAACGAAUCAUCUACCAACCCUAAUUCUUCAGUUUUCUUUUUAAUUAGAUGAUAACUCAAGCCAAGCUAACCAAUAAACACCCAAAAUCUACCAUCAUUUUCAUUUUUUUUUCUUUUGUCACAAAGUAGACAGAAGAUUCGGUUUGGAUAAGCUCUACGUUAUUAAGUCAAAAGCUGAAGUAAUUUUAAUCAUAAAUUGUUUUAUUUGUUUAUAAUGCAAAACAAUGACCCAAUUAAUACAAUAAAGCUUUAACUUUGUGGGAAUUUUCAGUCCAAAAAAAAAAAAACAAUUUGUGGAAAUUUUAGAGCAGUUGACCAUUUCUUCCGAAUUAGUUUUCUCACUUCUUGUCCAUAUUCCAUGUAUAUUAUUUCAAGAAAUUAGGUUUAGAAAAUUGCAUAAUUCAACCAUUGAACUAAUAAAUAUUAAAGAAAAAUUGGGUGGCAAAAAUAUCUUAUUAAAAGCGAAUCAUAUACUAUUAAUAGAUUUUAUGAUUAAAUUAGUUUCACGUGUUAACGGGAUAUUAACUUGAUUUAGUAAAUUAUAAAAAUGUCUUUUAAUGUUUAAAAUAAAUUAUAUUAUUUGAAGAUAUUUUAAUUUUUUUAUUAAAAAAGGAUGAUGUCUCAAAUUAACUCACAAUCUAAUUUAAUUUUUUAUUUUAAUAUCGUAAAUGUUUCAUGUUUUAUUAUUAAUUUGUUUCAAAUUAUACAUUUCAUUAUUUAUUUUAUGUUAUUUUUAAACAUAUUUGUGUUCUAAAUACCAAAUUUUCACUUAAGGGUAUCAGAGACGAAUCUAGAGAGGCUAGUAGGGGCCCCGGUCUCCUUAAAAUGAAAAUUAUUAUUUAAGCCCUUUAGAAAAUUUUAAAAUUUUAAAUUAGUAAAUGUAAAAUUGCACUUUGACCCCCUAAAAUUAUAAAAAUUUAAUUUAAUCUUUUAAAAAUUAUAAAGAUAUAAACUAGUAAAAAUUAAAAUUUCAUUUCGAUCCUCCCUAAAACAUAUUUUUGGCUUCACCUAAAGGGUAUGACUAGUAUGAAUAAUUUUCUUUGGAAGUCUUAAACAAACAGGAGUUAAGUAAAAAGGAGUUUUCAUACAUACAUAUUCGGCGUUGAUGUUUCCCUUUCGAAAAUUUAAAUUAAGACAUAGGAAAAGAAACUAAAAUUGAGCUUAAUUUAUGCAGUUGGGUUCAAAAUUUAAUAUUUAAAUAUAAAAAUUCUAAUAAUUCGAUCUGGUCCGUUUCAUCUAGCAGACUAAUAAUAAAUCUUAAAACAUAUUAUAUUUUAAUUUUAAUAAAACCAAAACUGAUACAUUUGACCUACAUCUACAUGUGAUCUAUGCUUAAUUAAAUUAGUCUAAAUUAGACGAGAUCUUGAUUAGGAGUCAUUUAUUUAUAUUAUAAGUCCCUGAAACAUGCAAAACUUACAUUUAAAAAUUAAUAUUUUUACGUUGUUGUUAGAAUAUAGGGUUUGUUAAUGUUUUCGUGUGAAGUCAGCUGUUGACAUUACCAACCAGAUAAUGAAAAGGGAACAUGGCAAUUAUUCCAUCCUAAUUGUCACACACACACACACACCUAAUUAAGUUAAUCCAAAAAUUACCUAACGUUUAGCAUUUCAAUGGUAGAGUCAGCUCUUUCUUCUAGUCUAUCAAAAAAAAAAAAUCAAUUUAACCCCUAACUCUUGGAUGGAAAAGUUUUUGCUAUGAACUUGUUGAAGUGAAUCUAAUGUGAUAUAAACACAUCACAAUCCAUGUGUGUAAUUAAAAAUAAUAGAGAGAGAUUGAAUAAUUUAAAGGGAAAAAAAAAGAAUUUACUCCCUCCACUAACAGGUAACUCUUGCAGCUUGAAUCUACAACGUAUGUAUGAAAGUGAACACCUUUAAUUAAUGAAUAAAUACUAAAGUUCUAGGUUUAGAAUUAAUUAAAUAUCAAUACAAAAAGUUAAUUACUUUUUGAAAUAAGGAUAAAUCGGUUUUUGAGGUUUGAUAAUUUUUCACAUAUCGAGGUUUGAAUUUUUUUAUCUUAAGUUCUAAACUUGACAAUAGUUCUCAAGAUGUGAAGGUUUUUUUUUUAUCCAAAUUAGGCUAUGAACUUAGAUAGAAAUCUUAAAAUUCAACCCUAAUGUAGGUAUAAUUGUCAAGUUAAAAAAAAUUCAAAUCUUAAUAGAAGAAUAAUCUACUAAUUGGUAACCCUAAUAUAAAAACAAUUGUUAAGUUGAAAACUUAAUUUUUUUUAAAAAUUCAAACCCUUAUUAACUUUAGGAUUUAACCCUUUGAAAUAUUGCGUUAAUUAAUAAGUGUAAGAAUUAUUUUGUGUUAAUGAUUAAAUAAAUAUUUAAGUGGAGAUCAAGUUUUACCUCAUUUGUCAAUUGUCAGGUGAAGAAUAUAUACCCUAAAGGCCUAUCAAAAACGGACCUAUCUCUAUAUAUCUUUACUAAUUUACUAUUCAUUUUUAAUGAAAAGCAAUAAAUUAAUGAAAACGCUAUAAAACGAAAACUACAUGAAUAAAUUAUAUGUGUAAAAUUGAAAUAUUUCGUGACGACAUUAUUGAAAAAAAUAAUCAUUAACCUUAAAUAUAAACAAUUAUGACAUUUCUAUAAAAUAUCAUUUAAUAUAUUGCAUCAAAGUUUUAAAAAAUGUUAUGUGUAUACUUUUACCUCGUAUAAAAAAGUCUUUCAUUUCUCAAUUCUUAUGGCAUAGUAAAUUUAUUAUUAAUUUUUAAAAAAAAUGGUUAUUAUUUGUGUAUUAAAUAAUUAUUGGGAUAAAUUUUAAAGUUGUACAUGGAUUUUGGUUACAUGUUAAUUAUAAACAUUAACUUUGAUUUUAUAUAAUUUUAUAUAUGAAAUUUUAAUUUGAUCCAAUUCUCAUAAAUUAUUAACAUAAUUAUUGAUAUAAUAUCAUUUUAUGUUUAUAUGCUAUAUACAGAAAUAAUUAUAUUUAUUCAAUAUAAAAAUUAAUUGAUGUAUUUAUUUCUUUAAACGUAUAUGAUUGAAUCAAAAUUAAAACAUCAUGUAUACAUUUGAACCAUAACUAAAAUUUUACAUAUAUAAUUAUACAAAAUUACAAUUCAUAUACGUAAUAAACUAAAAUUCAAUUUUUUUAUAAAAUUAACCUAAAAAAUUUAAUUAAUUACAUAAAUGACCCUUUUUUUUAUUAAACACGUAAAUGACCUAAAAUCUACCGUGAAAAUUGGUGGAAGCAAAGAGUUUGGCACCACCAACAUGCCACGUCAGCAACCAAGAUAAAAAAAAUCAACUUUUUGGUAGAGCCAUGCAUAAUAGUGCUACUUGUAUAAAUAUCAGGAAAAUACUAUAAUUUCUAAAAAAUAAGGGACUUUAAUAAAAAAAAAUUCUAUUUUCUGGUGGAGCCAAAUAAAUUGGCGCCACCAGUUUCCAAUGUGAUUUUUUUUAAAGUUUUCUAAAAUUUUAAAUAUAUUAAAAAAUGUUAAGUAUAAUUAAUUUUAAAAGUUUAAUAUAUUUAAAAAUUUAAUAUACUUAAUAUAUAUUUUUAAUAGGUAAAGAAAAAAAUGAUUUUUUAAUAUAUUUAAAAUUUUAAAAAACUUAAAAAAUUUAAAUACUUUAAAAAAUAUUAAGUAUAACUAAUUUUAAAAUUUUAAUAUAUUUAAUAUAUUUUUAAAAUAUUUUUAAAAUUUUUAAUAUAUUUAAAUUUUUUAAAGUUUUUUAAAAUUUUAAAUAUAUUAAAAAAAAUUUCCUCAUUACCUAUUAAAAAUAUAUUAAAUAUAUUAAAAUUUUAACAUAUAUUUUUAAAAUAUAUAUUAAAUAUAUUAAAAUUUUAAAAUUAGUUAUACUUAACAUUUUUUUAAUAUAUUUAAUUUUUUACUAUUUUUUAAAAAUUUUAAAUAUAUUAAGAAAAUAUUUUUUAUAUUUACCUAUUAAAAAUAUAUUUUAAGUAUAUUAAAUUUUUAAAUAUAUUAAACUUUUAAAAAUAAUUAUACUUAACAUUUUUUAAUAUAUUUAAAAUUUUAGAAAACUUUAAAAAAAAUUACAUUUGAAACUGAUUGGCUCCACCAGAAAAUAGAAAAUUUUUAUUAAAGUCCCCCCAUUUUUUAGAAAUUAUAAUAUUUUUUUGAUAUUUAUACAAGUGGCGCCAUUCUACAUGGCUCUAUCAAAAAGUUGAUUUUUUUUAUCCUGGUUGCUGACGUGGCAUAUUGGUGGAGCUAAACUCUUUACCUCCACCAAUUUUCACAGAAAAUUUUAAGUUAUUUAUGUGUUUAAUCAAAAAAAUAGAUCAUUUAUAUAAUUAAUUAAAUUUUUUAAAUUAAUUUUAUAAAAAAAACCCUAAAAUUCAUAUAUAUAACUGUAAGAUUUAUGUCCACAAUUAUCUAAAGCUAAUCGGUGAUAAUUACUAUGGAAAUUCAAUGUACUUAACUAAUUGAUUGAUAGGAACAAGCAUGAUGAAAUCCAUGAUUGGGAAGAGAGAGAAUUCAAAAACUGAACGCCCCAUUAAUCCAUGCGAAUAAACUUUUUCGGUAUACAUCAUAAUUCAUUUAAUUUUAUCAUUAUCUCUAUGCUAUAAUUAUGUUUAAACUAAAAUACUUGAGACAUUAAUAGUUUGUGUUAUAUAAAUUAUGAUAUCCAUAUAUCCAUAUUAUAUAUAUAUUUUUAUAUUAUGAAUGCAUUUAAAAAAAAAUUAUGAAAAAUGUAGAGUCCGCAAAUAAAAAAUGGCUUACAAAUUAACAGAAAACCAAUUUUAUUUCUUGUAAAUUGAUUUACCAUAUUAAAAAGUGUAAAUCUUUUUUUAAAUUUAUUUACGAGUAAUUUUAUUUUUAUAAAAAUUAAUUUUAGCCAAGCCUAAUAUUAUUUUAUUAAUAAUAUUAUUUUUAUUUUUAUUUUUAAACAAUUUAAAAUUAUUAAUAUCAAAUAUUAUAAUGUUGAAUCCUAGUAACAUACAUAUUAAAUUAUUUAUAUUAUGUUAUAUUACAAUUUUAUUUUAAUAAUAAAUUUUAACAACAAUAAUUUUAAAUUUUAAAUCGUAUUUUUAAUAUAUUAUUGAAAAAUAUUUAUAUUAAUAUUUUAAUAAUAAAUAUAUAUUAAAAUUUAUAAAUAUUUAAUAAUAAAUUUUUUAUAGUAUAAAAUAUGAAUAUUUUAAUUAUAUAGAUAUGAGUAUUUGUUUAAAUCAUGCUUAAGUUCAUUUAUCUCCCAACUCUAAUGUGUCAUUAUACACUGUCAUAUAUAUAAUAUAUGUAAUUUAAGCAUUAUUUAUUAUUAAAUUUAUAUAUGAUAUUAAUUAUAAUAAAAUAUUAUCUUAUUAUAAAAGAAAUUCCAAUUGUCAAAAAGAAAUGUUACUCUAAUAUUUUGUAAUAAGUAUAUUUAUAUUGUAUUUGUUUCACUAAUAACAAAUUUAAAAUGAUUUUAGAAAAAAAUAUCAAAAAAUAAAAAAUAUUUUAAUCAAAAUAAUUCAAAUAAAAAAAACUAAACUUUUCCAUGAAAUCAAUCCAAUUUUAAGAAAACAUUAAAAUUGUUUUAGGUGAAACAAAAGGAACCUAUAUUUUAUAUAGUAUUUGAAAAGUUGUUGUAUCUAGAAUUAUUAUCUUUAAUUUUUUUUAGGUCUAUUUCUAAUUUUCAAAAAUUGAGAAGUUAAUUUCUCUAUUUUACUUUAUCAGUCCGUGCUUAUUUUUUAUUAAUUUGUUGUGUAUAAAUGGUUAAACUAUUGAUUUUUGUUAAUUACUAGCAUGUAAAUUGUUAAACUACUUGUUCCCAAGUCAACAGUAAAGCUUAAUAGUAUUAUCAAUUUGGAAUAAUUUCUGAGAUUUUUCUUUUAUUUUGCGUGAUUAAGAUAUUUUUCAUGUACGGUUUAAGGUUUAUGAAGACUAAUCCUUUCGAGUUUAUAACUACCCUUUUUAAUAAUGUCGUCUUUAAAAUUCGAGUUCUCUUUCUUGUAAGUACAAUAUGCCUUACAUUUAUAACUAAUACUUCUUAUUUUUGUAAAAUAUAAGAAUCAAAUUAUGUAGUAAGAUUAAUUUCUAGAUUUUUUAAAUUUAAAAUUUAACAUUUAAAAUAUUAUCAAUCACAUCACACACAAAACCAAAGAGCAAGAGAAUCUAAAAAACACGUGGACCAUUAAUUUAGGAAUGGACAGAAACUCAUGCAAAAUGGUUGGAAAACACGUACAGGAUUAUAUAUACUAAUCAUUUUUAUUAUUAAGCAGAAUUGGAAAUAAAUAAAUACGGGCGAAACCACUGAAUAAUACAGCAUUGAAAUGCAAUUUGUCUACAUCAUUAUUGUUCUUCACUUCAAACGCGGAGACUAGUCUAGGGUCCCAAUCUUUUGCUUUAUCUCUCUAGAUAUAUCCUUUUCAAACUAUCUUUUUGUAGCUUUAUUUGCAUCACAGCAUUAUCUUUUCCUGCAAACAACUGUUUAAAGAUUAAAACAUGCAAAACAUUCUGAAAUAAUGCACCCUGACCAGAUGACAAAAAAAAAAGAGGAUUCUAAUGUAUCUUACCUUGGAUUGGAGCACGGUCAAAGCCGUGGCUUAGUAGUGGUGAGGAGGAGGGGGUGAAGCGUAGACAUAAUGGGGUGGGGGUGGAGGAGGAGACUUGUAUUUGUAAACUGGAGGAGGAGGUGGUGGAGACUUGUACUUGUAAGGGUGCUUGGGGGGUGAUGGUGGGGGUGGUGGGGGUGACUUGUACUUGUAGGGGUGCUUGGGUGGUGACGGUGGGGGUGGGGACUUGUACUUGUAAGGGUGCUUGGGGGGUGAUGGUGGUGGUGGUGGAGGUGACUUGUACUUGUAGGGGUGCUUGGGUGGUGACGGUGGUGGUGGUGGGGGGGACUUGUACUUGUAGGGAUGCUUUGGUGGGGAUGGUGGUGGUGGUGGUGGGGACUUGUACUUGUAGGGAUGCUUAGGUGGGGAUGGUGGUGGUGGUGGAGACUUGUAUUUGUAAGGAUGCUUUGGUGGUGAUGUUGGUGGAGGUGGUGGGGACUUGUACUUGUAAGGGUGCUUGGGUGGUGAUGGAGGUGGAGGUGGUGGAGACUUAUACUUGUAAACUGGAGGUGGUGGGGGUGGAGACUUGUACUUGUAGGGGUGCUUGGGUGAUGAUGGAGGUGGAGGUGGUGGAGACUUAUACUUGUAAACUGGAGGUGGUGGGGGUGGAGACUUGUACUUGUAAGGGUGCUUGGGUGGUGAUGGUGGGGGUGGGGACUUGUACUUGUAGGGGUGUUUAGGUGGUGAUGGUGGUGGUGGUGGUGGGGACUUGUACUUGUAAGGAUGCUUGGGUGGUGAUGGUGGUGGAGGUGGAGGAGACUUGUACUUGUAAGGAUGCUUGGGUGGUGAUGGUGGUGGAGGUGGUGGAGACUUAUACUUGUAAACAGGAGUUGGUGGGGGAGGAGAUUUGUACUUGUAAGGUUUCUUGUGUGGUGGUGGUGGAGGAGAGUAGACCGGAGGAG